CCCCCAGGGCACAUCUCCAAGUGGUAAAAGGGGAGGGUGGAGAAAUCCAGCUUUGCUUGAGGCUGCUGCGUCAAGGGUUCGAAUCCUGAAAUAUGGAUUUGGCUCUUGAGUAAGUGCAAGUGUACAAGCAGCCUUCCACCCUGUACCCUUGGAGGCAUAACCUGCGAUUUACCUCCCUCACGAUACUCCAGGGCAGGGGUGGUGGGGGACCCUUAAGGUUAGGGUUUAACCUUUUAAGAAAUGCCACAAGUUAUGUUCUAUCCGUAAUAACGAUAUCCGUAUCUCGUUAUUACUUACGACCAUGGACGAUUUAAAAUUGAAUUAUAUGUAAUUUGUAUCUCAUAAUCACAACUCCUUGCGAUUAACAAAUUACGAAAAUUUGAAUCUACGGAGUCUAUUAUUUAAUUUAAUUGUCUAUUAAUUAAAUAAUAGAUCUGACAUUAAAUAGCAUUAAUUAUAUAUUAAAAAUAUUUAUGUCCAAGGUUGAUUAGAUCUAGGGCAUAACACUUUCACAUGUUUCAUCCCUUAAAUGAUAUACAUUACAGAAGAACUUAUAUGCAUAUUUAGAGAAUUCCAUUGAUGCAUUGAACUAAUAAACGGAUCUCACGAGCCAAAAACACAGCAGAAAUUAUUGAAAGAAUGGAGAAGUAACUCUUUACUUAAUUCUGAAGAAAGUAACUUUUUCACAGCCAAACAAUAUUUUAGUGCGUGUUUGGCAAUGUUUAAAAUUUUAUGGAAGUGCUGAUAAUUUGUGAAUAUUGAGGUUAUCCCACAUCGGUUGUGGAUGUGGUUGGUAUUCAGUUUAUGAGUGUGAGGGAAGGCAUCACCUCUUGAGCUAGCUUUUGAAAUGAGAAAGGCCCAAUACCAUCCAACACUGGUAUCAGAGCCUGGUUUAUCAACAAGUUUUUGGCCCAACAAUCAUCUCCAGCCCAACAGUCACGGAGAUACGAUUUAUGUGAAGGGGAGACGGGUUCGGUCUUCCUCAUGCCUUUUAUGUAUGGGAAAGACGGGUUUGGUCUCCCACAAAGGCAGAUGUGUGGGAGGAGAUGUGUUUGGUUUCCCUCAAAAUCCGAUGUUUGCGGGGGAGCUUAUUGAGGUUAUCCCACAUCGGUUGUGGAUGAGGUUGGUAUUCAAUUUAUAAAUGUGAGGGAAAGCCUCAUUUCUUGAGCUAUCUUUUGGGGUAAGAGAUGCACAAUACCACCCAACAGUGAAUACCAUUGAAAGUGUUAGAAAAUAUGGGUAAUGGGUCACCCAUGUAAAAUGACCCAACCCACAAGUUAUUUAAAGGGUUGGAAUGAGUAAUAAGAAUUUGGAAAUCUACAACUCUCCAUAACCUCCCAUAGCUCCCAUAAAACCUCCAAUGUUUGUAUAGUAAUGGGGAGAGAAAAAAGAUGAUAAAGUGAAAUUCGUUUGGAAAAUCACUCAAAAAUAGAAAAGUGCCUAGAACCACAUAUAUGGCAUGAAAACUCACAAAAUUAGGCACUUAAAGUGUGGAUAAUAAUCUUUCUUCCAUUGUGAUCGGGAAUGGGACCAUUGGAGAACAAGAAAAUGCAAAUUUUGGAGUUUUGGAAUACAAGGUGAUUCAACUAUUUAAAAGAUCUUGGAAUUCAUCAUUUUGAGUCAGUUUCUUGACCCGAAAUUCAUGUUAAGGAAUGCUUCAAAUUCUUACUCUGGUAUCAGAGCCAUAAAGGUUGUUUCCCUUGCAUACUAUUUUGCUGUAAAUGAAAUUAUUAUGUUGAAAAAUGCAUAUACACCAUUUUCGUUGAAACUUGAAGAAUUGUUAGUGGCAUGUCAAGAAAUAUGCAAAUUAAAUUUCCAACAUUCUUACAUCAUAUCCCUUAUGUAGAUCAUAUCCGCAAAGUUUCGAAACUUUUAGUUUUAUAAUUUUGGAGAAAAACGAAAUCCAAUAUAUAAUUGCAGAAACUUUAAUAUUUACUGCCAUUUGUUCGUUCAUCUUCAUGCAGUAAAAUUAGCAUGUUUAAAAAGGUCUUCUUAUAAGCUUUCCAACCAUAUAAAAAACAUAAAUUUUGGACUUGAAACGAAGAAGUUAUAAGGUUUUGAAAUUUGGAUGAUAAUCUGAAUUUGCAUGAAAUUUGAUGAAUGCCUGAACUUCAUCACGUGAUAACUUUUUUAUACAUUAAGUUUCAUACUGUUCAUUUGCUGUGAUUGGAUAAAUCUUUUCGAGACCUUUCCAACGAUGUGAAGAUCGUUGAUUUUGAGUUGAAAUGAAGAAGUUACACCCUCCGAAAUUUGGAUGAGAAUCUGAUUUUUGUACGAAAAUUGGUAAAAUCCAAAAUUUUAUCACAUGAUAACUUGUUCUACACUACAUUUUAUGAUUCUCAAAAAAUUUUCAAUAGUACAAAGAUCGUUAAUUUUGGCCUUGAAAUAAAGAAGUUAUGGCUUCUUGAAGUUUGAUAAAAAAAAAAUUGAAAUUUUUGCAAGAUUUUUUUGUCAUUUUCACUCUUGGACAAAUCUGUUGCUAUCCUAAAUGUGACCUUAAAAUUUUGAUUUUUUUUUAAACAUGACAACACAGAUUAGCUCAGAACGUCGAAAUCAGUUAAGAUGACCAAUAUUUUUGAGUAUGACACGACGGUUCUGACCUUGUCCCAAUUUUUGAUUAUUUUGAAAAAAAUGAUUGCAGAUUGGUCCUGCAUGUAAGGAUAUAUGUGAGACCCAACUUCAAUUCUGAAAAUUGCAGAUUGGCCUCGAAAUUAUUCUUGAUUUUUAAGUAUAAACAAAUUAAUUAUUGGAUGGUUAAAAAAUUUUUUUUUUUAUUUAGGGCUUAAAAUUUGUUAAAAAUAUUUUUUUAAGCUAAUUAAAUUCCACUUUUUUUAAAAUCAAGAAUAUUUAUUAAGUGGUAUUUGUCUAAUGAGAGUUAUUUUUUGAAGUGUUUUGUUUUUAUGAAAUAUAAAAAUACUCCAACAGUAUUUAAAAUGCCACAAUUUAUACACGUUCCCAAGCUGUGUGGACUUAAUUAGGUUAUGUGAUCCAUUGUGACUUGCUUUCAAUUUUUGUGCUUGAUCAGUUAUUAUCAAUGCUAUGCACAUUUAUAACAUCCUUAGAGGAAAGGCUAGAGAAACAAGGGCUAUGGAACUUGUUAAAAAGUUACGUGCUUACUAAAAUUAAUAAAUGGAUUUGGAAUAUAACCUAGUGGAAUACGUGAAUGUUUUUGGGAUAUUUUUGGUAAGAAGCAGAAAUGAGAAUUCUAAUAUCACUUCCCAUUUGUUGGGAUUGUGUUGCAAUAGAUAUUAAAGCAUGGUUGACAAUUAUGAUAUAUGUCACAAUUGCAUAUUAUAAAAUUACAUUAUUGGAUAAAUGUGCAUAUUUAUGCCUUUAUUGCACAUUCUAGAAUUACAUUAUUAAGUUACGUGAUAUCCGUUAAUUCGUGUAUUGUUAUAAAUGCUAAAAUCAGUUGAAUUGGUGGGAUUCUUACUUAGAACUAUUGAUUGUUAGUUUGAUGAUUAGAAGAUUUAAAGAAAAUCUCAAAUAGAACUAUUUGAUUUACCAACUGAAUAGGAGUUCUCAUGUUGGAAGAAUUAAUGUAAUUCUCACUUAAAACCCAAGAAAUUUUGCGUUAUGAAAUUAAGUUUAUGAUAGUGAAACAAUAGAAAUGCGAUCGAUAAUUGGGAACAUAGUGAACUUUCAACUCUGUGCGUAAUGUUGAACUAUCGUAGAUGUUAAUUUACGUUAAUGCAAAAUUAAAUAUAUGCUUGAAUGGGCAUUGAUUGAGAAUAAAAGCCUCGAAAAAUCUAAUAGAUCAUGGCAUCAAAAUUUGUAGUAGUUAACCUUAAUGAAGGUGAUAAGCUAAAUGCUAUAACAUUUGGCAUGAUAAGAUUUUCAGUGUACUAUAAGAACGUGAUGCUUUCGAGAGUAUCAACCACGCAAUAGCAGACCUAACAUGGGUCAUGCUGCUCAAGAGAAUAAAUAUCGGAACUUUGUCAAGUACAGGAAAAGAUAGAUUCUAAUGCUUGAGCAUUUGAAUUAUUAAGUUCUGUUAUAGAUGAUUUUUUUUUUUUAAUAUGACUUAGUUGAGAUGGUUAACAUAGUGUUGACAAUUUUUGUUGAUCACAUUUUAUUUAGAAGAAUAGUAAGAUCAAACUAGUAUCUUUACAAUAGAUGAAAAUUUUGAAGGUCAGUGUGACUUACAAGUGAAGUGUCAAGUUUCUCUAUUGACACAACCCGUUGUUUAGGGGGCAAAAAGAGUCCAAGGAGACUAAACGUGUAGGGAGCCUUGCUCGAAAGGAGAAUGGAGAGCUCAAGUUUAGGGGGUAAAAAUGUGAAGCUGAAAAUUACAAAGAGUAUAAGGCUACAAGACUCUAUCGUGAACCAGCACUAUCUGUUCCUCCAUACAAUCUAGCUAAAGACUAUAAAUUUAGCGCUUAUUAAAUGCAACCCAAUUUCUUAUCAUUUUAUUUAUUAUGCUUUCAGUAAUUAUAUUGCUUAUAGUUAUUAGGUUGCAUUAGUUAUCGACAUGUUUCGUUUCAAUAUAUGGCAUCUACACUUAUCCUACAUAAGAGAAUAAUGUGGCAUGCACUUCAUGGUUUUAGGGAAGUUACUUAUAAUUAUUUUCUUUCACCCUUGAUAGGUACUUGGAUAUCAAGUGGAAAGAGCUUAUCAAUUUGAAUAAUGAAAUACAUUGUUUCAACAAGCCACUUCAAAAAUAUCAAACAUAAAAUUUGGGGAGUACUCUUUUGUUUUCUCUUCCCUGUCCCUUUAUAUGCUUACAUUGAGAAUAAUGUCUACUUUAAAUUUGAAGGUGAAAAGACAUUGAGUUUUUACUUUAUGUGUGUUGUUGUGUGUUUAUUGCUUUAUAUAUAUAGGAAAAAUACAAAAAAUUGAAAAAUUUUGAAGGGCGAUUUUAUUUUUAGUUUGCUUACUUGUAUGAAUUAGAUAGCAUGGUCGACAAUGAUGAAUAUAUUUGAUAUUAUGUGUUGAUUUUUGAACUGUGAAUAUGUUAUAUGCUUAGAUUGAUUGAUGAUUAUACAUGUAAGACUUGAUAUUAAUUGCACACGUGAAUUAAGUUAGACAAUGUGAAAAAAUGAGUUGAUUCAUAUGCUUGAUAGGUUGAUUUAGUUGAACAUAGAUGCUAUUCCCAAAUCAUACUAAAAUUCUUUAUCCUUAAGACCAAAAUUAGCAUAGUUGUAGGGGUGAUUUUACUAUUGUAGGAAGAUACAAAUAUGAAUUGGGAUUCUUCGUGUGAAAAAAUUAUGUGUGGAUUGUUAUAGAUUAAUGGGACAAAAUUGGAUAGAAGUCUUAAGUUGGAGGUCACUUUACUUGAAUAGUUAUUUGAUAAGAGACAUUGCACUAAUCAGUGCAUUAAGUUUUGAAAUUUGAAACUUCUCUUUGAAACGUUUACGACACGAGUAAUUAAGCCUAUAAGGGUAUUUAAAAUUUGGUGUCCUAAAGUCAUCUGACUUUGGAGUUAUUGACCUAAAAUUCGAUAAAAUAGUUAUUUAGAAAGCAAUUAGAGAAGAAGUUGCACUUGAAAUAAGAAUUAGUUUUCUUCGAAGCCAAUUACGUGCCAAUUAAAUUCUGUUUGAAAAGGCAAAAUAUUAUUUUUAGCGUAAUUGCUCUAAUACCAAUCAUGUGCUAAUUAAAUUUUGUUUGAAAAAUUUGUGGUAAAAGGUUUUAUUUUAUUUAUUUAUAGUAAAGUUUUCUGCCUAGAAAGUGAGGGAAAGUCUUUGUGCAAGGUUGAAAAAAUCUUUGAGUAAAAUGAAAAAGUCUAUCUACUAAUAAAGAGAAAAUGACAAAUCUUACCAAUUAACUAACAGAGAGUAGAGAAAGUCUUUGAACCAGUUAUAAAGUUUUCAAAUUAUAUGACCAAAAUAAAAAAUCUUCUAGCCUGUUUCAAAAUGUUUACUAAGCCCUUGUUUGAGCUUAAUUUUUGGGGAAGAAUGAAUUUUUGAAUAGUGUAUUGAUAGAAAAUGUGUGGUUAAAAAAUAAGGAAAAGUUUUGAAUUUGCGUGUAAUAUUAUUUUAUUAAAGAAUGUGUGAUUGAAAUGAUAUCAAAACACUAUUGAAAAAUGCAUUUUUCUAAAAGAUUGAGGCUCAAAGAGGGCUAAGAUAAGAAAAUCUUAAAAGAAAAUUUUUUUCUCUUAAAAAAAAUAAUAUAUUGAAGUAGCACAUUAUUAUUAAUGUUCCAGUAAGAUUUUACUUGCUCCCAAAAAGCAUAAUUAAAUAAAAUCUAACAUAAAUUAUUUUUUUAAUCCUAAAAAGUAAAUUCUUAUAGAAUUUAUUAUUUCAAACAAUAAUAUAUUGAUAUUAUUGUUCCUGAAAAGCAUGACACUUUAAUUCAAAUAUUUCAGAAGAAUAUUACUUGUGGACCUGUCUAUUACAAAUGUUUUCUUGCUCUUUAAAUAACAUAAUAUUAUAAUUAAUAUUCUUUUAGAAUAUUAUUUGUUCUAAAAGAGCAUGAUAUUACAAUUUCAAUAUUCUAGAAGACUAUUGAUCGAUUUUUAUAAAAUCAUGAAUUAAAUUACUAAAUUUAUUUAUGUGUUCCAUUCUUCUACAUACGUAUUUAUAUUCUAGUUAAAUUUUACUUGCUCCACAAGAGUAUAAUAAAUACGAUCUAAUAUAAGUAAUAUUUUUACUCCUAAAGAUGAAUUCUUACGUAACUUAUUAUGCUAAAUAAUAAUAUGUUAUUACUCCUGAAGAACAUAAGAUUAAAAUUUUAAAUAUUUCAGAAGAAUAUUGUUUUAUUGCCUUUGAAAAAGCAAUGAAAUAUUAUGUAUUAUCGAAAUAGCACAUAUCCCAAAUAAUAUAUAUAUGAUUAUAUUCCUUAAAAAACACAAAUGAAACAACUCAAUACUAGGUUGUAGUUUUUGAAAAGAAACUAAUUUUCUAUACUAUUAAUAUUUAAAAAGAAUAUUAAUUUACUCCUCUUGAAGGGCAUGAAUUAUAAUUUUCAAUAUUUUAGAAGAAUGUUGACAUUUUACUAUUAAAGAAUCGAUAAUAAAAUAUAACGUGCUCUUCAAAUAGCACAUAUUUUGAAGAAUAUAUUAUGUAUAAUUUAUGAAUUUUUGUUUUUUUUUUUUUUGUAAUUAUUAAAUUUUAUUAAGAAAACCUCACUUAUGGCAGAGGAAAGCUGAGAUUACACCAUGCAUUAAACAAAAAAUUACAUUAACGUCUCCAAUAAGGUAAUUGCCAACUGUCUGCACGCAAUAUUCCUCUAAGAAGAGUUGGAACCUCAUCGCCAUGAAAGAGAUCAAAAGAAGAGCCUCCAGUUGCAUUUUUUGCCAAAAAAUCAGCCGCCAUAUUGGACUCUCAAAAAACAUGAUGAAUUUGGGCAUUCGUCAACCGAAUCAACUUCAUAAUAUCUUUCCAAUACUUCCAAAGCCACCACAAGGAACAAGCACCUUUUUUCACCCAUUGGAAUAAGACCUUAGAGUCUAUUUCAAUGACAAUAUCCCGUAAUCCAAGGUCUUUACACAUAGAUAAUCCAUCAAGAAGAGCCCGAGUUUCUGCCACCAUAUUCGUACAUGAGCCAUAAUGAUGAGAGAAGCCAGCCCAGUAUGUUCCAUUAGAGUCACGAAGUAUUCCCCCUCCGCCAGCUAGUCUAGGGUUUCCUUUAGAUGCACCAUCUACAUUUAAUUUUAACUGUUUUCCAGAUGGCUUUUUCCACCUUAUCAUUUGCAACUUUUACUGUUUAACAUUGCUAAUAGGACAAUUUAAAGACUUCAGGCAAUGAACAUCACGAUCUGAGAUUUUGCUGACAUUAGAAAUCAGGCUAGCAACUUGGGAUAACAAACCUUUGAUGACCCAAAUAACUUUCUACCAUAUUAUGGGAGAUUCUUCCAUGCGAGCCCCACAUCUAAAUUUCCAGAGCGUCCAUGUGAUAAUAAGUGGUGUAAUAUCCCGAAGAAUUCCUAGCUGUGAUGCGCUAGAAGCACGCGCCCACCAUAAAUUCAUUUGGCCUCUCCAAGAUGAGACAUGUGGUAGUGAUAUAUUAAAAUGAAGUGCAAAAUAAGACCAUAUCUUUUUAGCAACCUCCCCAUUGCACAAAACAUGAUCAAUAGUUUCAAUCAAGGGGUUCACACAGCAUUCGCAUUUGGAGGCCAAAGGGAUCCCAAUAGAUUGGACCACAUCGUCAACUGGUAAGCAAUUCAAUUAGGCUCUCCAAGACACAAAAGAGAUCCUUUUAGGAACUCGAUUAGGCCACAACCAACACUUCCAUGCACAAGCCAUACCCUUUUUACGAAUUACCUCCCAAGCAGACUUAGUCGAGAAUAAUCCAUCCUUACUGGGCUUCCAGACAUAAAGGUCACGUCCCCCACGUAAUUUCAUAUUAAUCUGUUCCAUUGAGUAAGCUUGGUUUUCACCCAUUAACUCUUUUAGUCGAUUUCUGUUCCAAGUUCCAUCAGCCGUAAGUAGGUCUUUAAUUUUUAAUUGUGGUUCCUUCACUUCAAAGCCUGCAUCAGCUAGACUUUGAGAGCCAAACCAAUUAUCAUACCAGAAAUUUGAUGAACCAUCACGAACACGGCAAAAAGAAUUUUGCAACACAAUGGGCAAUGUCCAAACAAUUCCCUUCCAGAAGCGAGAUUGUGUAGGAGAUACUUUCAACAUAGCAAUAGUUUUAUUUUUCAUGUAUAUGGAUCCAAAAAAUUCAGCCCAAAAGGACCCCCCUUCCUACUAGCAUUUUCCAUGCAAACCUCAUAAAUAAUGCUUGUUGCACCUCACUGAAAUCAAGAAUGCCCAAACCUCCCUCCUCCAUAGGAUAGCAGAUUUUUCUCCAUAACACCCAUUUUCGCCUCCUAGAACCAUCUGUAGCAUUCUAGAGGAAAGAUGAAAAAAUACUGCUCAAUUCAUUAUGGAUGCGCUUAGGCAUUUUUAAUACCGACAGAACAUGAAUAGGCAUAUUACAAAGAACAUAUUUAAUCAAAGUAAUUUUUCCUCCGAAAGAAAGUAGGCGACCUUUCCAACUAGCAAGCUUCUUUUGAAUUUUAUCCAUAAGUGGUUCAAACAUCUUCUUUGUUAAUCGUCCAGUAAAGAGUGGUACUCCCAGAUAAGUAUAAGGCCAGACACCUUCCUUAAAACCCGAAUAGGCCAGAAGAUUUCUUUUACGUGUAACUGUGACAUGCUUAGAAAAGAGCAUAGAAGAUUUCUCUGGACUCACCAUCUGGCCAGACAUAGCCUCAUAAUGUUUAACAAUUGCAAGAAGAUUACAAAUCGAAUUUUUAUUGCCAUUAGUGAAAAGAAGUAAAUCAUCAGCAUAAAAUAAAUGACUCACCACCAUACUUCCAGAGUGAAAAGGAUGGAUUUGAUUUCUUUCAAAAGCCUGAUGGAUCAUUCUAGACAAGAGCUCCUAUGUGAGAAUAAAUAAAUACGGUGACAAUGGGUCCCCUUAGCAUAGGCCUCUAGAUAGCUUGAAGAAACCCCGAGAUUUACCAUUAACCAUAAUCGAAUAGACUGGAGAGGAGAUGCAAUUAAAGAUGAGAUUUCUCCAUCGAUCAGAGAAUCCCAACUUUUUUAAGAUCGCAAGCAGGUAACACCAAUUUACUCUAUCAUAUGCUUUGGCCAUGUCAAUCUUCAUUAAGAUGUUCCCACCUCUCACCUUUUUAUUGAGUCUCCGCACCAACUCUUGGGCGACAGAUAUAUUAUUGAAAAUACUUCUUCCUUGAAUAAAAGCAGAUUGUUCCCGAGAAGUCAACUUAUUGAGCAAAGGUACCAUCCUAGCCCUCAUAACUUUAGUUAAGACCUUGUAUACCACCGAGCAAAGACUAAUAGGCCUAAAUUUAGCAAAACUGUUAGGGGCCUCCACCUUUGGAAUUAAGACAAUAUUAGUAGCACCCAGAGCAGUAGUUAAAGGAGUGCCUUCAAAAAAUUAUGUAGCCACUGCAAGGAGAUCAUCUUUAACAAUGUCCCAUGCAGUUAUAAAGAAGCUUGCACUAAAACCAUUAGGGCCAGGGCCACUGUCUUUAGGUAUAGACCAAAGUGCAUCUUUCACUUCUUCCAAUUCUGGUGGCUUGCACAAAGAAAGAUUUUCCUCCAUUGUGAUGGCCGGAGUCAGGAGGGAAAGGUUAUUAUCAUCCAUAGAAAUAGGUGAGACUGACAAAAGCUCUUUGAAAAAUUGCACUGCACCCUCAUGAAUAUCAUCAACUGAUUUUAACACAGUGCCGUCCUCAAGAACCAUGUGUUCGAGAAUAUGGUUCUUCUUCUUAUUUUCAACCGAUGCAUGAAAAAAUUUAGUAUUACCAUCUCCCUCUUGAAGCCAUUUAAUGCGGGAUUUCUGUCUCCAUAGAAUUUCCUCCCUUUCAAGCCAAGCCGCAUAUUGAUUCCGACAUUGCAAUAGUUGGUUCUCGGUCGCCAAUGAGAAGCUAUCAAUCAAAGAGUUCUCCAAAUGGGUCAGUUUAUCUUCCAAAAAUCCAAUUUCUUGUUGCACCCGCUCAAAGACCUCGCGAUUCAAGACUUUAACGCCUGCUUUGAGGUCUGAAGUUUACGCCCAAGACGAACCAUAGGAGAACCAGUUACUUCCUUUUCCCAAAUUUGUGUCACAAGAGGCGAAAAUCCCUUAUGAAAACACCACAUCAGUAAAAAUCGAAAAGGUUGAGCAAAUUGCAAACUUGAGUUGCCCCUACAGCGUAGGACCAUAGGGCAGUGGUCUAAAGAUGUUCGAUCCAAAUACGACAUCGAAGCAGAUGGAAAUUCGUUCUUAAAAUUCUGGUUCACCAGGAUACGAUCUAAACGAGCCCAUAUCCGAUGAAUUCCUUGUCUUCCACUGCACCAUGAAAAUUUCGGACCAUCAAAAGGUGUAUCAAUCAAGCCUGUGUCAUUAAACUCCUGUUUAGCCAUCGAAGAUCAGUACACACCCCCAUGUUUCUCAUCAUUGGAUCGAACAGUAUUAAAGUCACCUCCUACUAGCCAUCCGUAACGUUCACUGACUAUCAGUCUCAACUGCUCCCACAAUUUCCUUCUACGCCUCUGAAAACAACUAGCAUAGACAAAAGAGGUAAGCACCUGGACGUUUCCCAACGAGAACCAUCCCGAGAUCAUUUGAUCCGAGGAACUAGUUAAAGAAAAUGAAAGCUCAUUAUUCCAGAACAUCCAAAUUUUGGCCCCUUCAGCAACAUUUGAAGCAUAGUGCGAAAAUCUCAAACUUCCAGCCCAACAUGCAAUUCUAUCAACCGACACAAAAGGUUCCAUUAAAACUAAAAGAGAAGGAUUAUACUAUUUUUUCAACUCCAUUAACCUGCCCUUAGAAGAUACAACACCCCUUAAAUUCCGUAUAAGUAUAUUCAUUGUUAAUAAGACUUUUUAGAUCUCGUGGUGACUCCUAUGGUCGCCUUUUUCUGAUUCCUUCCCCUUGGUCUAUUUAGAAGACAUGGUGUAUUAUGGUCAGAAUCAUAAUUAAGAACUUCUAAUUCAGGCAAUUCAUCGUCAUGCUCACCAUCAGAUUUAGUAUGGAUUGCCAUUUCAUGUCCCUCAUUCAGUACAAUUGUCUCAUUUAGAUCAAUUUGUGGAAGUCCUUCUCCUCUUAUCACUAAGUCAGCAAUAUUAUCCAUGACAUCCAAGACCAAGGCUUCGUGAACACCAUCAGCAUCACCUCUCAAAAUGGCUUCUUCAAGUAUAAUCAUUGGAACUCAUAUUCUCCUCCAUAUCUGAUGUAUAGGCAUCCUGGCCCAAUCAAUGCCAUUGGAUCCAUCCUUAUACAGAUUUGUUUCUCCACUUUUAUCCACCAGAUUUUUCUGUAUUACAGCAUUUUCAUUACUCUGACCACUAUAAUUGUCCACCAAAUUUCCAUUGUCCACGACCUCUAAAUUCAAAGCAACUUUUCCAUCAUUGCAAAUAUAUAAGGGCAACGCCGAAGGGAUCAAAACAUUACGCUGUAAAAUCCUUUUCCUUUUUUCUUCAUUUCUGGUACCCCACUCCUCAAUGUGGACAGCCUUGUCCGAUGCUAAACCAUUUCCCUCUUCCUUUCUCCGCCACACCUUUCUCGAGCCUUUAGGAUUAGUAACAGGGUGGUUAGGUCCAACCUUCUUGUUCAUCCUUUUACAUUCAUCCUCCACGUGACCCUGACUCCUACAUUGGUGGUAGUACAUUGGGAAUUUUUCAUAGAAAAUUUCUUGGCAUCGACUAGAUGGAUAGAAUGGAACACCCAACCAAAAAGAUUUCACUAGCGGUUUAGAGAUAUCAAUCUCCACACAAACACGAGCCCCAUCUGUGCGAGAAGCACAUGCCGUAAAAUUAUCCCGCUUCAAAAAUCGGCCAAAGGCAACUAUGAUUAUACGAAGCAUAGAUUCAUGGUAGAAGUGGAAAGGUAACCCAGGAAGAAAUACCCAUAUAGGAACCAGAGAUGAUUCUUGACCUUCGUCGAAAUCCUGGGACCAAAAUGAAGAGUCUAUACGAUGCACCAUCAAUCUCCGAGGAUUCUUCCGCACAUGCAAUGGCGAAGUCCUCCUCUGUUGUGAAUCGAAUGAAAACGUUCCUUGGUCGCUGCAUAGUACUGACAGAAAAAAAAAAAAAAAAAAAAAAAAAACCUUUGAUUCCCUAGCAGGCUUUGAUGAAUAGGCGAAUCUGGUCCAGAGUGGGUCUUCUCCUUAGAAACUUCAGCACAACAUAAUACCGGAAAGGAGAAGCCGUGUGGUCCAGUUCUGUUUUAGAAAAGUGAAACCAUAGGGAUCCAUCGCUCUCGUUCGGUUGUCUCAUAUCAAUCUUCAUUUCCGGAAUAGGUUGAGGCCGAGCCUGCACCAUGGAGGCGUAGGUCGCAUUUCCCACCGUGGUUGGCGGCCGAGGCGGAGGCGCCCCCGCCAUGCAGUCGGAUGUCCAAACGCAACAAACAAAGCCACCAAGAAAGAGGAAGUCCCACGUAAAAUCAUAUCAAUGCUGAUUUUUGAAUUGAAUUUGUGUUUAUCCCUAAACAAAAAUAUAUUAAUUAUGUCAUGUGAUUAUUGAUGAUUAUAUUGAACCAGAAAUUCAAUUUGAUUGGUGAUGCUACCAAAAAUCGUACCUGUAGAUUUUCCGAGCUUGAUGACUGAUGAUGAGCACGAACGUGAUCUUCCGAUACCUGAAACAAAGGCAACGAGGUGUGUUCUCGUCGCCCCUCCGAUGCUUAAGUCAGAAAGGGAAAUAUAUGCGUGAGGCUAUAUGCUGAAGAACAAUGAGAAAAACGUACCUGAAUAAUGGCCCAAGGUUCUGCUUUUAUAGGAGUAGGUAGUGUACUCCUAGUAGGAUUGUGUUGGUUGGAUGUUUUUAUCCAAGGGAAUUUCUAUUAUAAAGAAUGUCCUACUUGUAACGGAAUUGUUUGACAAGUGGUGUUAGGGUUGAUGUAGAAUCCUUGGGUUUUUAGGUUUGUUAGUUAGGUACCCAGGUCUUAGGAGGUACGUUGGUGGUGUGUGUCUCGAGGACUAUUCUCGAGGACAUUGAGGGAAUGUAAAAGUGUCCUCGAGGUAUCUCGAGGACUACAAUAUCUCGAGGACUUAGAUGACCUCGAGGACUGAAGAAGAGAAAUGAGGUGGGGGUAUGUAUUGAGUCCUCGGGAAUAAAUGCCUCGGGUGUAUCAAUAUUGGCAUAGUCACUGGCCCCCGUGCACUCGUCCUAGAGAUCGAGCUCUUAGGAUGGGGUGCAAAUGGGUUAUGUCAUUCCUCGAGCAUUUGUCGAGAAGUGAUGGCUGAUGAUAUAGGUCGAGAUAUGACCGUUGCAGAGAGUGGCUUGGAUUUGUGACACGUGUCUUCGUGGACGGUCGUAGAUAGCGACCUUUGGCCUCCCAUCAUUUUCACCUAUAAAUACUAUUGUUCUCACCUUCAUUUUUCACUUUUACCCACUGUAAAUCAGAGUUUUGCGAGGUCGUGCUCGAGAAAAACACUUUUGGGAACUUCUCAAGUCGUCGGGAAUUCCAGGUAAGGCUCAAGACUCUAAGUUAUUCAUAAGCUAGGUCUUAAGUUUCUUAAGUGAUGUCGAGUAGUGAGGGUCGAGAAUCUUCUAGCAGUUCUAGCAGUAGUGAGGACGUAGGGACCUCGAUAAUACCGACGGCUAUUCCCCUAGAGGCUACUCCCGAGGCCCAGGUUAAUAUGGUUUUUGAGUAUCCCGACGAGCCCUGUAGGCUUAAAGAGCACACAGUCAUAGCUGCAGCUAGGGAAUACGGUAUAAUGCCCAACUGCGAUGUUAGAUUCCCAGACCCCGAGGAUAGGAUUAUUCGAGCACGACGAGGGGAGUUUGUUAUUUUUAGGGAGACCAUUAAGGCUAGCUUUAGGUGGCCCCUUCACCCCUUCUUUAUUGCUCUAUUAGUCGAGCACUCCAUGUGCCCGGGGCAAUUAGUGCCCAACGCCUGGAGGAUGCUCGUUUACUUUUUUAUAGCAUGUAGAUACUUAGGUAUCGAGCCCAACGUUAGCCUCAGCAAGUUAGUGUUCGAGCUUAAGAAGCAUCCNNNNNNNNNNNNNNNNNNNNNNNNNNNNNNNNNNNNNNNNNNNNNNNNNNNNNNNNNNNNNNNNNNNNNNNNNNNNNNNNNNNNNNNNNNNNNNNNNNNNNNNNNNNNNNNNNNNNNNNNNNNNNNNNNNNNNNNNNNNNNNNNNNNNNNNNNNNNNNNNNNNNNNNNNNNNNNNNNNNNNNNNNNNNNNNNNNNNNNNNNNNNNNNNNNNNNNNNNNNNNNNNNNNNNNNNNNNNNNNNNNNNNNNNNNNNNNNNNNNNNNNNNNNNNNNNNNNNNNNNNNNNNNNNNNNNNNNNNNNNNNNNNNNNNNNNNNNNNNNNNNNNNNNNNNNNNNNNNNNNNNNNNNNNNNNNNNNNNNNNNNNNNNNNNNNNNNNNNNNNNNNNNNNNNNNNNNNNNNNNNNNNNNNNNNNNNNNNNNNNNNNNNNNNNNNNNGGCCUCUUGCCACAGGAAAGGGGCCGAGGAUGUCAACUCCCCAUUGUUCAAACGGGGCCGAACAGUUAAUGUUGGUGAGGUCCUCGGCUGGUGAGUGGAUAAUAUUGCCAAACCUCUGGCACUUAUCACAAUUUUUAACAUAUUCUGAGGCGUCUUUUUUCAUAGUCGGCCAGUAGUAUCCAUAUCGUACGAGUUUAAAGGCCAAGGCCCUGGCUCCUUGAUGAUUCCCGCACACACCUUCAUGAACUUCAGCAAGGGCCUGGGAUGAUUCUGGCCGAGGUCACAUGUGGUAUACCCGAGGCCCCUGCUCCGCCGUUGUCAGGGACAUGAGCUCGAGCUCGAGCAUCAGCCAUAAAACCCCCCUGGGGUGCUGGUGUAGGUGACGGAUGCGAAUUUCUUUGACUUAGCAGCUGAGUCAGUGUGGCGACCUGUUGUCUGAGCUCUUCAAAGGCUACGGUAGUGACGACUGCCGGCUGGGGCUCUGGCACUUCUGAUGAUUCCUCUUGAGGAACAGGGAUAUCCUCAGGAGGGGGUUGGUUUGGAGCGGAUGAGCUUGCGGGUGGAAGACCUGAUCGUGUGUUUACCAUGACUUUUGGUAGCGCUUCCCACAGACGGCGCCAAUGAUGCUACCAAAAAUCGUACCUGCUGAUUUUCCGAGCUUGAUGAUUGGUGAGGAGCACGAACGUGAUCUUCCGAUACCUGAAACAAAGGCAACGAGGUGUGUUCUCGUCGCCCCUCCGAUGCUUAAGUCAGAAAGGGAAAUAUAUGCGUGAGGCUAUGUGCUGAAGAACAAUGUAAAACGUACCUGAAUAAUGGCCCAAGGUUCUGCUUUUAUAGGAGUAGGUAGUGUACUCCUAGUAGGAUUGUGUUGGUUGGAUGUUUUUAUCCAAGGGAAUUUCUAUUAUAAAGAAUGUCCUACUUGUAACGGAAUUGUUUGACAAGUGGUGUUAGGGUUGAUGUAGAAUCCUUGGGUUUUUAGGUUUGUUAGUUAGGUACCCAGGUCUUAGGAGGUACGUUGGUGGUGUGUGUCUCGAGGACUAUUCUCGAGGACAUUGAGGGAAUGUAAAAGUGUCCUCGAGGUAUCCCGAGGACUACAAUAUCUCGAGGACUUAGAUGACCUCGAGGACUGAAGAAGAGAAAUGAGGUGGGGGCAUGUAUUGAGUCCUCGGGAAUAAAUGCCUCGGGUGUAUCAAUAUUGGCAUAGUCAAUUGGCAUGAUUAAUUGGAUCGUCAUUGGAUUAAUAAUGAUGGGAAAUUAAAAAUACAAAUGGACAUUUAAUGAAGUACCAAAAUAUUCUUGAAUUCAAUUCUAUAUGAUAUUUGUUUUCUUUCGUGAAAAAUUUUCAUUAACCAUCACUAACUAAAAUAUGAACUAAAUUCUCUAUAUUUCUAAAAAUUAAUUAGGGUGAUAAAUGGGACACAUCAUCCUUCACGUUGAUCAUAUAAAUAUUAUUUGUAUCUAAUAAAUUUGAUAUAUAUACUAAAUGAUUACAUGGUGUUCGCAAUCUAAAUUUUGCAAAAUUAAUGCUCAAAUUUUAAAUUAUGAACAUAAUUUUCAGAUUAUAUAAUCAAGAUUAUAUCUUGUUAAUGUUGAAGGCAUAAAUCUCAAUAUUUUAAUAAGUUUUAGCUCGAAUGUCGUUAAAUGGUUUAACACUAUUAUUUGUCAAAUUUCUCCAAUUAAUUGAGAACAAAGUUCUUCGCAAAUAUGUGGAAAUGCUAUUACGCAUCAUGCCAAUAUCAUAUUUCCCCCAUUAUAAUUAGCUUAUGAUCAGAGCCUAAUUUCUUCAUCAAAUUACUUAAUAGUGCAAUUAAUCCACCACAUUGUAAUGAGGUUAAAGGUAAAGAAUGUUGAAAAGAAAUGCAUAGUUUCAUUUCUUAUCUCAAAUGGGUGAUAUUUGAUAAUGCAAUUUACUGAUUAUCAAUUGUUAUUGGACAACCCUCUCAGCUUAGGGAGAGGAAUUAAGAAACUGAAAAUAAUGUACAAAUAUAUCAUUGUAUAAAUCCCAGCAAAAGAAUUCGAAUUAGAAAUUCAAAAGAUAAUUUAUUUAGAUGCAUUUAUUGACCAAAGAGAUCAACGAAUUCUCAAGCAUCAGUUUAAAAUGCUCCAAUACUAAUCGAUGUCAUAGGAGGACAAUUUAAUAGCAUUAUAUUUGAUAUAUCUAUGACACACCUAAAGCAUGAUAAUGUUCUAUUCUAAUACAAAAGGUCUCCAAACGAAAAUGGAGCAAUUAGCUAAAAUGGAUUCAUCAAAGAAGCAUUUACUCUUCAUGAGUAUUUAAACAUAACAAAUUAUAAAAACUCAGAAGAGGUUCGGGUCUGUGAAAUAAUUAAAUUUAAAAUAUCUUAAUAAGUUAUGUCAUUAUGAAAAAAAAAGAAUCGAAAAGAAAAAAUUUGUCAACAAUAAUUUUGCACAUGAUGCACUACAUCAUAUAAUGAGGAAUCAAAAUAACUGCAUCGAAAUAUAUCGAUCGAAGUAAUGAUUAACUAAUAGAAUAGACGUAUGUAGUGUAAUCGUCUUAGCGAAUAUAUGUUAAAGGAAGACUGUAAAAAUAACUAUGUCUGCCUAUGUGUUUUCAUAAAGAAAUUAAAUAAUGAAUUUGCAAUUGGAACUCUUGAAAAGCUCAACAAAAUAUACAUAUUUGGUAGUUUAUGUUGUAAUUUAAAUUUUAUUGGAACUAUUGAAAAGCUCAACUAAAUUACUGAUUAUUUUAAAAAUAAAUUUGAUAUGAAAGAUUUGAAAAAAAUCAAAUUUUGUCAUGGAUUGCAAAUUGAAUCCUUUCUAGAAGGACUACAUACAUGCAAAAAGUUAAAAGUCUUUAUAUGGAUGAUACACAUCCAUUGGCAUCAUCUAUGGUUACUCGAUCACUCGAAGUAAAAAAUGAUCAAUUUCGUCCACUUGAAGAUGCAGAAAGGAUUUUUGGUCUUGAAAUACCAUAUCUUAGUGGCAGCUGGAGCAUUAACUUAUUUUACAUAUUGCACUCGACCCAACAUAUCUUUUUCUGUAAAAUUCCUUGCAAGAUAUAUGUUUACACGUGGAGGAACAGUUAUAUCAUGGAAAUCUAUACAGUAAUCUUUGACAACAAUAUACAUAAAUUAUUCUGAAAUUAUUGCAAUUCUUAAAGCAGACCGAGAAUGUGUAUGAUUGAGAAACAUGACCUAUCAUAUCCAAGCAAAUGCGGGUUAAUUUCAACAAAAUAUGAUUCAACAAUUUCGUAUGAAGACAAUGCAACUUGUAUUGUACAACUCAAAUGAGGCUAUAUCAAAAGUGAUAGAACGAAGCAUAUUUCUCUAAAAUUCUUUCAUACAUAUGAGUUUCAGAAGAAUGACGACAUCAAUGUUCAUCAAAUUCGUUCAGCUGACAAUGUGGCUGAUUUAUUAAUAAAAGUAUUGCGGACAUCUACAUUCAAGAAAUUGGUUCAUGAGAUUGAAAUAUGUCGACUCAAAGAUUUUUAGCGAUCAAUAUCAGGGAGAGUAACUGUACUCUUUUUCUUCGCUCAGAUUUUAUCCCACUGGAUUUUCCUAACAAGGUUUUAAUGAGGCAUCACUUAUUUUUAAUACUUCAAAAUAACUGCAUUAUUUUCCUUUGUUUGAUUUUUUUUUUUUUUGGUCCUAUUAGAGUUUUAUCAAACAAGAUUUUAACGAGGCAGAUAUUUUGUAAUGUGUCGUUAAAGGGAAAGUAUUGUAAAUUGUAAGUUUAUUAGUUAAUGACAAUUGUAUCCCUGCAACUCCCAAAAUUAUUCCCGUUGUAUCCUUGAUUCUUCCCUAUAAAUACAGGGUUUUGAUUCUUAAUAAAAUACACACAAGUCUAUUGAGUUUUAUCCUUUUUUUCUCUUCUCUCUCUUUUCAUAACAGUCGUAUAUUUGUUGUGGUGUAUUUAUUAAAGAGGCUUCUUAAUUGUUGUGUGAUUUUAAUGUGGUAUACUAACUAAAUGUUGUGAUGGUAAUAUAAUUACUCGUAAAAAAUUUCCAAAAAUCGCUAGAACAUGCAGCCUGCAUGAAUAAAAAAUUAUAAAUAGAAAUAUAAAGAAAUAAAUUUACAAAUGAUGACAAAUUAAGCAAAAGCUUCUCGAAUUGUAGAUGAAGAUAUGUAUUUAUAUCUCCAAGAAUUAGGUCAAAAUUCGUGCCAUUUCCUCUGGGGGUAAGAAAAUCAUGAUCGGAAUAGCGGACCAAAAGCUAUGAAACUUGGGUGUAAUUGUUUUUCAAGAGGAGGUUGAAUAAAAUUAGGAAACAAAAACUUUGCUGGCCGGAAGUACGGCCGGAAGUACUGCACGAUCGCACACUACAAUUGACUAUGAUCACGUGGUUAUAACCUAUUUCACUUAUUGAAAUUGAAAACCCCGUGAAUUUCUUCUUUUGUUUAGCUCGAUUUCUUUUUAUUUGCAACAUAGGUUAUUCAUCUUUGAAUAUUUACAAUUUAGUCCUUCUCAUUCCACAAUUAUUCAUUACCCGAUGUAAGUUCUUAAAGCUUGUAAUUGAGUUCUCAAACUUUCUAAAUAUUGAAUUUACUCCCAAAACUUGUGAACUUCUUAUGAUUGUGCUCUUAAUUCUUCAAACUGAUCACGAGCAACUCGAAUAAUCUUCAAUUGCUCUUAAUCAACUCCAAUUAAACUCAAAAUCUCCUUUCUCAAGCCAUAUGCAUCCAAAUUGAAUUUUCUCAUACAAUUAACAUAUUUACACUAAAUUCAAUAAUGAUUCACUCACUCAAUCAUAAUUUGUCAAGUUUAGAAGCCUUAGAUAACUCUGUGAAAUGCACUUCUUGAAUAGCCAAAGCUAAUAAAGAAUACUAAUGAUGAAAUCCGAUUCUCGCAACACUUUUUCUUAAUCGAUCUCUUUUCAUCCAAACUUUCGUGUUUAAAGCUCAAAUUGAUUAAACUUAGCAAACACAAUAUCUGCCGGGAUGAAAACAAAACACAACACAAAUUGCAACAUACGAGAUUAUGUCACACGGUUCAAUUUAAGUAGACAAGAUCUGCCAUCAAAUCCACAACAUUCCAAGAGUUCCGCCAAGUAGUUCUUCGAAUGGGAGACGAAGAUCCCUAGCAUUUGCAGCGUGAGCUCAAGAGUAGCUAAAGUAGCACAAAAUUGCAAAACCAAUGAAAAUUUCAAGCAUUUUCGCAUUUUGGGAUUUUUGAUAUAAGGUUUAGUAGUUAAGCAAACCUUGAGCAUUAAUAAGAGCAAGUAGUUCUGACGAGAUUAUGCCAUGCUGCCCUUGGGAUAAAGACUGUCAAAUAAGUAUAACUUAUAUUACAAAAAACUGUGUUCGAUUUGUCCUAAAUAAUCUGUAUUAUACAAAGUAUUUGGUUAAUGGAUACAUAGCAUUCAUACGAUGUUAAGAAAUAUUAUAUGAGCGUGCAACUACUUGAGUAGAAACAAAGAGCCAAUCAAAAAUUGAGAUUGUCCUCAGGAGACGCCAAGAUCGAUUAACUUAACUACCUAAGUGAGAGGUCUGAAGAGUAACCCCCGGUGGCUAUUCUCAAAAAAACAAAGAGAAAUUUGGUGAGCUGCCUUACCUAAGCUAACCACUGGUCUCAAGUUACAAGCAUCAGGUAUGAUUCGGAGAAGCUGGUUGCAAAUUUUGAAUCAUAGUCAGGUGAAGCUGAACUUCCCUUCUGGCCGGCUACUGAAUAUAAUAGCCAAAUGUCGACUGAUCAUUGACAUUUUUAGUCACAAACCUUUACCUCUACAGGAAUAACAAAAAUAAGAAAAAUGAUCAAUUAGUGUCUUUGUCGCUUCUGGGAUGGCACCGAUGCAGAUUCAACCUGAACCAAAAUGCAAAAUUAACAGAAAAUCAGAAAAAAAUUACAAGAAAAAAAUUGAUAAUAAUGUCAGAAGUGAAAGAAAACAAUGUACUUGUUUAUUCCAAUAUUAAACAUAUAUUACAACCUUCACUGUUCCCAGGAAUACUGUACCAUAUAGUUGAGUGCCUGUUUGGUAUUGAUUUUUCACCCCCAAAAAAUUAAUUUUUUUACCGUUAUUUCACUAUUUAGGCCGUCAUUUUUUACUUCUUCUCUCAUAGAUACGACCCACUUCUCUCCAACGAUCAAAAAUUCAAUUCUCAAAAUCACUAUCGAACAAGCCCUAAUAUUGCUUUUGUUUCAGUCAGAAAGUACAACAAACCAUUGAUUUGCCAAGUGAAACAAAAUCGAUACUAAAACUUAGACACACAUAACACAGUAAGUGUAUGUUUGAUGUGCAGUAGGACAAAGUCCUAGUAUCUAGCAAUCAAUUCAAGAGAAACAGAAUCAUCCUGUACAGAUCAUUAGGCUUCUCUACUUAACAUCAACUCGCGUCAACCUGAUGCAAUGUCAAAUAUGAAAAUGACUUAAGUAGAGAAUAUUACAGAGCUCGACAGUUUUUCACUGAUGUAGGUCAUUGAUCUCAACAUUGCAUCCAGAGUGUCUCUGCUAAGCUGAAACUUCACCUCUAUUUCUGUUGGAGGAGACUUCGAGAAAUCUUGCAGCUGUUAAGCGGAAUUGACAUUGUAAAGAGAGGCAAUGAGAAAGAAUAACCGUUCACCCAAAAAUUAUGAUUCUUUAAAAUAAGAUGUCACAAAAGGAAGUGCAUUGGAGACCUUUUCUGCAAAACAUGUUAAAGUAAUGCAUCCACACCCUAUCAGUGCCACAUGGGAAUAUCAAAAUUUACUGUAGCAAUUUCAAUAAGAUAUAAGGUAAUGUAGCUGAUGUCAAAAACCUUUAUUCACUACAAAUUAUCUUGUGCGUUUUGAGUUUUGUUUCUAACAAAUUUGGAUACAGGCGAUUUACUAUAAUCUAAUAAUAGUAUCAUUUUCUGCUAAGAUUGAAACCUAUUUGUAAUUUUCACAGCUGCUUGUUUGGUUGGACAUAACCCAUUUUAGUUCAUGCAUUUAAGCUUGGAUAAUUAGCAUACCUUAAGAGUUAUAAUAGCCACUCGAUUAGCUGGCAUCUUGUUUUUAUUGUCCACAGUCCAAGCCAUAGACUUCAGUUGUGGAAGAAUUCCCUACAUCGAGAUAAUAUACACAUAAAUACUAGUUGGCAUAAAAAAAUUUAUUCCCAAGUGGAUAAAGGGUGGAAUGGAAGGAAAAUGUAUCCCUAUCUGCUAAAUUAGCAUAGAGACACCAAACAUUGAAGUGCAGAAGGCAAUCAAAAAUUAAACUACUUAUUUAUUGCAUAACAAUACGUCUGCAGGGUUGACAUCAUUUUGAAGUGGCACUAGUGAAGAGUGUGAGACAUUGAUUGACAUAGGACCUCCAACAUGCUGACCAUCAGAUUGAGGGACUGGAUUAACUUGCCGAGACCAUGAUGAUCCACAACCUUCUGAAGAAACAAAAGAUGAUAAAGGUGGUGGCAAGUCGGUAUUAACUCGAUGCAAACAUCCAGAACUUCCUAACAGAUGCUGCCAAAUUCACAGAAAAAUAUUUCAGAAAUAUUGAAACAACUCAGACCAAAGCAGCAAUAAUAUUUUCUAUGUGACCCUAGUAUCAGCGUUGGAUGCCUGGGGAAACCCAGGGGCAAGGUCCCAUAUGCAUUUGCAAAUUCACAGUAUCGCCUAUGAAUUUCAAGCAAUUUUCAUACACCUCAUUUAAAAUCUUGAGAAUUGGUCCCCCUGCUCAUUAAAUUUCCAUUUGUAGGAUAUUGAAAGUCAAUUAAGCUACUUCUCUAUGAAUAAAAAGGUAAGGAGUUUUUCAUAUUGUGAUCAUGCUUCAUGUGUAUAAACACAAAAUUAAAAUUAUUUGCACAAGAAUGCAAUAAAUAGCAUCUAAUUUUUAUGACAUCCUGGAAAAAUCACACCUGCUCCUCUGACAGCUCCUGCUUCCACUGGCUCUGAUAUUUUUGCAAUGACAUUAGAAGCAUGCGUUGAAGUUCGAGAGGAAGAUUAUGUGGAAGCAGCUUCAAAAUACCAUCACCUUCUAAGUUCUCAUGUACACAUUUUCUGAUAAGUGAUCGAACACAUGCCAAAACCUAAAGCCAGAAACUUAUUAUAGGUCAUAUUGUCACCACCACAAAAACACAAUUUCUAUAUUCUAAAACCUAAGCAAUAAGUUCAGAUUUUCAACUGAAAGUGGAGAUUUGGGAGUUGUUAGGGAUGAAUAGCUCUAGCUAGAUCCAAGCAAUCGAGCAGUACAUGUAACCACGCUUAUUCUGAGAACGUAGCCCCUACGUGACCAAGUGCCACCAAAUCUUAUCCAAAUCUGAAUGCUUAAGUGUAGCUAGAACCAAAUCGAAGAAAUACUGACUGGACUUGAGGGAAGUAGAUAGGUAAUUGAAAACUAUCAAAAAGAAAAUCACAAGAAAUCAGCCACCAUAGUACUGUUCGUUUGACUGCAUCUUAUCUCUAAAUAUUAAAAAUUAAACCACGAGUAAAAGAUAGAUGAUCACAGAAGAUAUAUAAUUCACAUAUCCUUCANGCUUCAAUAAUAUCAAAGCACCCACCUUCGUACAAAUCCAGCAAUUUCCGAUUGCCACUAUGCACAACUAUCAAUUAAACAUGAAAAUUAUACUUUUAAUCUAACGACACCAUAAAAUACCUAGGUUCUUUUUAGGUGAGCACGAGAAACCGUUAAUUAUAUUCAAAUAUUACUGAAUUGAUUUUUCAUGAACCAAGUAUAAUUAAGUGGUAAGGGCACAACAAUGGUAGAACAGGGUUCAACAAUUACAUACCAGGUCGAGGUCGCCGAGAGAUGGGACUUUAAGAAGGGACAAGUGGACUGAGGAUUUGUCGGAAGCAGAGAGACCAGUCUUGCGAGUUUUCCAAAGGAGAUUGAGAAAAUUUUCCAGUUCUUGUUCGGAUUGUAAUGCUGUUAGCUUGUGCAAUUGUUUGUACAGCGUCGUCUUGUCUUCGGAUACCAUUUUCUUUUGGCUCUUCGUCUCUCUCAACUCAAAUUCCUUUUUCUUUUUUUUCUUUUCUUCUGAACGGAUUCAGAUGGUGCAGUGCACCAACGGCACAGGAUAAUUUGAUUGGAAAAGGACGGGGGGAAAUGAGUUGGGAAGGCCUUUCCUAAUGCACAUUUUGUUCAAUCGGCUUUGAUCAAAGUUAUAAAUUUAAAAAGUGCUUUAAUUAUUAAAAAGUGUCAAAGACUUCUUUACCCUUAACUUGUAAAACAAAAAUGAAGUGAUUGAAGUUUUUUUCUAAAUUUGCUGUGAUUUGAACCUUUGAUGUCAAUAAAAUAUUUUAACAUCACAACUAUUACGGCAAGUUAUGGUCCCCUAUUUUUUGUGAGCAAAAUAUAUAUAUAACAUUUCAAAAAAUUGUUUCAUUUUCACUUCAAAAAUAAAUUUUAAUUAAAAUUACAAUUUAACAAUAACCCACUAGUUGAAUCAUUUACCCAGUGUUUUUUUUCAAGUCAAGCAUUGGGUUGGCUCUGAUAACUAUGCAUUCAUGUUCUAACACAUAGCAUUCUCUUCCUUUAAAUUCAAAAAAUAUUCCCCUUCAAAAUCUUCUCGUUUAGAAAUCGAACUUUUUUUUUUAAGUUUAAGGCCAUCUCUUCUUCAUAAUUGAUCUUCGGUACAUCCAAAGUUUUAACAUUGUCCACAACUUAGCAACUAGUCAAAAAUAAUUACUGAGUCAUUUAUUUAUUAGACACCUAUUAUAACACAUGAAAUUUUUUAAAAUAAAUUUUAUCAUUAUAUUUUUAAAAAAAUGGACAAAAAAAUAUUUUUUAAAUUUCUAUCUUAUUUAGAGCCCAAUAAUUAGAUUUUAAUAAAAAGCGAUGUAGUAUAUCGAUAUUGGACUCAUUUUAAAGUUUGUAAUAAGAAUUAUUCGAAUCGAGAAAAAAUUGAUUCAGGUAAACCGGCACCAAGAUAUUGCAAUUUGAAGAAAUCGUAAAAUAUAACUUAUCAACUUAAUAAAAAUGUGGAAUGGAAAUAAGCUGCUGACAUUGUUUCACUGAUUUGCAUAACAACGUUGAAAUCGUUCUUGAAAUAUAAAACGACUUCGAUGUCGUUUUAGUAUCGAAUACACUCUACUUGACUGAUUUGUAUAACGACAUUUAACUCGAUCCUGAAAUGCAAAAAAUGAUGUAUAUGUUGUUUCGAUAUCAAACACACAUUGUUUCACUGUUUAACAGGUUUAGGCGCAGGCUAUGGAAUAAGUAAACAACGUUUAUGUCGUUUCAAUUCAAUUUUUGAAGACAAUGAUAUCAUUCCUAUUAAAUCGUAACUAUAAUAUCAUACAUAUCGUUUUGGGAGUGGUUACACUAGAACAUUAUAACUAUGAUAUUAAAUGUAAUUGAAAUUUACAUAUUUUCUUGACUUUUUAUAAUUUUCAAGUUUACGAAUUAUACAUGAUCAGAAUGUGAACAUUGUGCAUAUUCAUGUAACAAUAUAUUCUUCGUUACGGUGACACAUAAAGCAGUUGAUGUCGUUGUAGUAUAAAAUGCUCUUAUUCUAAUAAUGACUUCGAAAUUUUCCUUUAGGUACAAAAUAAUAACUAGAACGACAUAUGCAUCGUUUCUUUUCAAAUUUAACAAGUUUGAAAUCAUUACAGUUUAAAUAAUAAUUAGAACGACAUAUGAUGACCGAAAGAAGGCAUCAAGUGAAUUGGUAGCACUCGAAUAGCUCAGAAAGAGCGAAUGGAGAUAUUAUCUUUCUUUUUGUUGAAUGAGAUUGAACUCAUUUAGUGACUUAUUUUAUCAUCUUACGUAUAACAAAUAUACGUCAGGUGACUGUGGACGAUCGAAUCGUCGUUUUUAUAAUUAUCGUUUUAGUUAGGAUUUAAACCAAAACGAUAUCAACGUUUUCAAAUUUGAACUGAAACGAUAAUAGUAUCGUCAUGUAUCAAACCCACAAAAUAAGACAACGACAUCCAAAUCGUUAUAGCACAAAUUUAAUAAGUUUGAAAUCAUUCUAAUUCAAAUCACAAUGAUAACAACAUAGAUAUCGUUUAUUUUCAUAUAAAACGAUAUUUAUAUCGUUCUAACUAAAUAUAAAGAUUCGAUCGUUCACAACCGCCUGUUAUGCUUUCAGCAUACGCAGAACGAUUGAAAAAUGUCGUUAAGUGGAUUUAUACCACUCGAAUGACUUAAAAAGAUCGCACGAAAAUACUUUCCGCCGAAAUAGCACGAAGGUGGUAUACAAUCAUGAGAACAAAAAUGUUCUCAUAAUUUCUUUUGAAGGAAAUCGAACCCACUUGAUUAUCUAUUUUGAUUAUCCUACAUAUGUCAGAUGCAUGUCUGGUGGUCGUGGACGAUCGAAUCGUUAUUUUUAGCACAAACGAUAUAAUUGUCAUUUUUAGUUUAACUGAAACAAUAUGUUUGUAGUUUUAGUUAUAAUUUAAGCUAAAACGAUAUCAAUGUCGUCAAACUUGUAUUAAAACGAUAAUGAUAUCGUUAUAUAUAAAAAUCACAAAUAAAGUAACAACAUUCAUAUCGUUUUAGUACAAAUUUGACGAGUUUGAAAUUGUUUCAAUUCAAAUCACAAGUAUAACGACAUAGAUAUCGUUUCUUUUCAUAUAAAACGAUAAUUAUAUUGUUCUAGCUAAAAAUAACGACUCGACCGUCCACAAUCACCCAUCAUGCCUUCAGCGUACGUAGGAUGAUCGAAAGAGGUCAUCAAGUGAGUUGACACCAAUUGAAUGACUUAAAAAGAGUGAACGAAAAUACUUUCUAUCGAAAUAUUACGAAGGUGAUAUACAAUCUUGAGAACAAAAAAGUUCUCAUAGUUUCUUUUGAAGGAGAUCGAACCCACUUGAAUAUCUAUUUUGAUCAUCCUACAUAUGUCAGAUGCAUGUCUGGUGGUUGUGGACGGUCGAAUCGUUAUUUUUAGUACAAACAAUAUUAUUGUCAUUUUAUUUUAACUGAAACGAUAUGUAUGUAGUUUUAGUUAUGAUUUGAGCUAAAACGAUAUCAAUGUCGUCAAAUUUGUAUUGAAACGAUAAUGAUAUCGUUAUAUAUCAAAAUCAUAAAUAAAAUAAUGACAUUCAUAUCGUUUUAGUACAAAUUUAACGUGUUUGAAAUCGUUCCAAUUCAAAUCACAAGUAUAACUACAUAGAUAUCGUUUCUUUUUAUAUAAAAAGAUAAUUAUAUCAUUCUAACUAAAAAUAACGAUUCGUCCGUCCACAACCACCCGUCAUGCCUUCAGCAUACGUAAGACGAUCGAAAGAGGUCAUCAAGUGAGUUGACACCAAUCAGACUUAAAGAGCGAACGAAAAUACUUUUUGUCAAAAUAGUACGAAGGUAGUACACAAUCAUGAGAACAAAAAAGUUCUCAUAGUUUCUUUUGGCGAAGAUCGAACCCACCUGAAUAUCUGUUUUGAUCAUCCUACAUAUGUUAGAUGCAUGUCUGGUGGUCGUGGACGGUCGAAUCGUUAUUUUUAGCACAAACGAUAUAAUUAUCGUUUUAUUUUAACAGAAACAAUAUGUAUGUAAUUUUAGUUAUGAUUUAAGCUAAAACGAUAUCAAUAUCGUCAAAUUUGUAUUGAAACAAUAAUGAUAUCGUUAUACAUCAAAAUCACAAAUAAAAUAACUACAUUCAUAUCGCUUUAGUACAAAUUUAACGAGUUUGAAAUCGUUCCAAUUCAAAUCACAAGUAUAACGACAUAGAUAUCGUUUUUUUCAUAUAAAACGAUAAUUAUAUCGUUCUAACUAAAAAUAACGAUUCAACCGUCCACAACCACCCGUCAUGCUUUCAGCAUACAUAGGACGAUCAAAAGAGGUCAUCAAGUGAGUUGAUACCAAUCGAACGACUUAAAAAGUGCGAACGAAAAUACUUUUUGUAGAAAUAGUACAAAGGUGGUAUACAAUCAUGAGAACAAAAAUGUUCUCAUAGCUUCUUUUGAGGGAGAUCGAACCCACUUGAUUAUCUAUAUUGAUCAUCCUACAUAUGUAAGAUGCAUGUUUGGUGGUCGUGGACGGUCAAACUUGUGUUGAAAUGAUAAUGAUAUCGUUAUAUAUCAAAAUCACAAAUAAAGUAACGAUAUUCAUAUCGUUUUAAUACAAAUUUGAUGAGUUUGAAAUCGUUCCAAUUCAAAUCACAAGUAUAACGACAUAGAUAACGUUUCUUUUCAUAUAAAACGAUAAUUAUAUCGUUCUAGCUAAAAAUAACGAUUCGACAGCCCACAACCACUCGUCAUGCCUUCAGCAUACGUAGGACGAUCGAAAGAGGCCAUCAAGUUAGUUGAUACCAAUCGAAUGACUUAAAAAGAGCGGACGAAAAUACUUUCUAUCAAAAUAGUACGAAGAUGGUAUACAAUCAUGAGAACAAAAAUAUUCUCAUAAUUUCUUUUGAGGGAAAUCGAACCCACUUGAUUAUCUAUUUUUAUCAUUCUGCAUAUGCCGGAUGCAUGUUUGGUGGUCGUGGACGGUCGAAUCAUUAUUUUUAGCAUAAACGAUAUAAUUGUCGUUUUAUUUUAACUAAAACAAUAUGUAUGUAAUUUUAGUUAUGAUUUAAGCUAAAACGAUAACAAUGUCGUCAAACUUGUAUUGAAACGAUAAUAAUGUCGUUACGUAUCAAAAUCACAAAUAAAAUAAUGACAUUCAUCUCCUUUUAGCACAAAAUUGACGGGUUUGAAAUCGUUCCAAUUCAAAUCACAAGUAUAACAAUGUAGAUAUCGUUUCUUUUUAUAUAAAACGAUAAUUAUAUCGUUCUAGCUAAAAAUAACGAUUCAACCGCCCACAAUCACCCAUCAUGCCUUCAGCAUACGUAUGGCGAUCGAAAGAGGUCAUCAAGUGGGUUGAUACCAAUCGAAUGACUUGAAAAGAGCGAACGAAAAUACUUUCUGUCGGAAUAGUUCGAAGAUGUUCUCAUAGUUUUUUUGAGGAAGAUCAAACUCACUUGAUUACCUAUUUUGAUCAUCCUACAUAUGUCAGAUGCAUGUCUGGUGGUCAUGGAUGAUUGAAUCAUUAUUUUUAGCAGAAAUUAUAUAAGUAUCUUUUUAUUUUAACUAAAACGAUAUGCAUUUGGUUUUUGUUAUGAUUUAAGCUAAAACGAUAUCAACGUCGUCAAACUUGUAUUGAAACGAUAUUGAUAUCGUUAUGUAUCAAAAUCACAAAUAAAGUAAUGACAUUUAUAUCCUUUUAGCACAAAUUUGACGGGUUUGAAAUCGUUCCAAUUCAAAUCACAAGUAUAACGAUGUAGAUAUCGUUUUUUUCCCAUAUAAAAUGAUAAUUAUAUCAUUCUAGCUAAAAAUAACGAUUCCAUCGCUUACAAUCACCCAUCAUGCCUUCAGCAUACGUAGGACGAUCGAAAGAGAUCAUCAAGUGGGUUGAUACCAAUCAAAUGACUUGAAAAGAGCGAACGAAAAUACUUUCUGUCAGAAUAGUUAAGGUGGUAUACAAUCAUGAUAACAAAAAUAUUUUCAUAGUUUCUUUUGAGUGAGAUUGAACCUACUUAAUUACCUAUUUUGAUCAUCUUGCAUAUGUUAGAUGCAUAACUGAUAGUCGGGGACGGUUGAAUCAUUGUUUUUAGCAGAAACGAUAUAAUUUUCGUUUUAUUCUAAUUGAAAUGAUAUGUGUGUAGUUUUAGUUAUGAUUUAAAUUAAAACGAUAUCAACGUCAUCAAACUUGUAUUGAAACGAUAAUAAUGUCAUUAUGUAUCAAAAUCACAAAUAAAGUAAUGACAUUCAUAUCGUUUUAGCACAAAUUUGAAGAGUUUGAAAUCGUUUUAAUUCAAAUCACAAAUAUAACGACGUAGAUAUCGUUUCUUUUCAUAUAAAACGAUAAUGAAUCGUUCUAGCUAAAAAUAAUGAUUCGACCGUCCACAAACCACCCGUCAUGCCUUCAAUAUCGUUAUGUUGUUCAAUGCACUUUUUUUAUUGGAAGGGACAUCUAUAUCGUUUUGAGUUUCAGGAACGGCUUCAAUGUCAUUUAUGGAAUGGGUGCAUUUUUGUAUUAGAAUGACUUAUAUAUCGUUUACGUAUAGUCAUAACGACUUUUAUGUCGUUAUCAAAAUAAGUUACAGUGUAUAUUUUCAUAUUGAAAUGAUAUAGAAAUUGUUUUUAAUUACAUGAACAGUUUCAAUAUCGUUAUGUUAUUCACUCUACUUUUUUGUAUUGGAACAACAUCUAUAUCGUUAUGUGCUUCAAGAACGAUUUCAAUAUCGUAAUUAAAAUCAAUGUAUUUUGUACUAUAAUGAUCUUAAACACUUUGUUUCAGAAGGAAGAAAAUGUAUAUCGUCAUUAGAUUGAGUGCAUUUACAUCAACUGUAACUAUACGAAUGUCGUUGGCAUUUCAAAAGUGAAAAAGUGUUUCAAUAGCACAAUGACUACAAAAUUAUAAAGUUACAAGUUAGGACAAUAUUACAACCUUAAUUUCAGACGAUUAUUACUCGAGAACUUUAAGAAUCAAGAAUGUUUUGGGAAGAAUUUAUAAAAGUAGAAAUGAACGGUCGAUUAAUAUAGUCUUUAUGGAUCCAUUGAAUAAUUUCGAUCAUUUAUAAUCUUAGCACUGUUACAAACUUAGGAACUUUGAUUAUGAAUUAUGAUGAGAAGCUAGGAAGUUCGCCUUGUUUAUAAGCCAGCCAUUACAUUAUAGUUUCUAUCGUACACACAUAUAUACACACGCUUUUCGACCUAUAUCUUGAUGAAACUGAAGGAAUAAAUUGCUUAAGAUGCUGGACCAAUUGUUUCUAUGUAAACAAGUCAUUCACCAGUAGCACCUAAAGAAAAAGGGGAAAAAAACGAGGUUCCCCAUUUUUCUUUGACCUGUUAUGUCCAAUUCCUCUUAGAGCAAAGUUGAGUAAGUCCGUCCCUCAAGAGAGCUGUAGUACGAAAUCACAAAGUAAACAUCCAAGUUUCUGAAUCUUUAUAUUGAAAGCAAGUAAAUGAGCAAGAUAGCACACGCUAUAAUUAUGUAGUUUGCAGGAAAUAAUUCCAAAGCAAUUAUCCACUAUAUAAAUAAAAUAAUAAAAGAGUAUGCUCCAACAGAAGCCAAGGUACUAGUUUCUAUUCCAAGGUAUUGGUUUGUUCCAUCUUAUUUGGGAAUAAAAACAUGUAGUGCACUGAUAUAUUAUGAUUGUACUCGUAACCAUUUGAAGUUGUGAAUAGAUUCUUUAAUCAUUCGAUUUUUCCAAUUAAAUUUCGAAAUAGCUGUGAAUUGAUGUUCAACACCUCUUUGACUUUAUCAUAUAAUUCCACAUAAGAAAUAGUUUUCGCAACAAGAAUAAGAGUUGUUUUUCCUUUGCCAUUCCUUGCAUAUUUCCAUUUUUACAAACCUUCAAUCAACUGUUCAUAUUCAACUGGAAAAUAAACUGAUAUCCAUACCAUAUUCGUGGUGUCCAUAACUGUAAUUCAAGAUAAAAAGUUCAUCAAAUUUCAAAAAUUGUACAGUACUGAUAACGAAUGCAAGUCGUUACGGAUUGCAGAAAAUGACAUGUAAGUCGUUAUGUACAGACGAAAAUUAAAUGUAUGUUUUACAGCAGACCAAUAAAAAAAAUAGCCAAACAUACUUUUGUAAACUUACAUUUUACUCUAAAUGAUACAAAUGAUGGGUAAUGAGAAAAGGGUUUGGAAGUAACCCAUAUCAAAACUAUAAUCUAAUGAUAAAAUUAAUUCAAAAUCAUUGUUCACAAAUAAAAAUUAUAAACAUAUAUACAACAACAUGAAGAAAUUAUUCAAAAAAAAUGGACAAAGAAACUAACCCUAAAAUUGAAAAUUACAACACCCCCUUCUUCGCCAAAUGCCCAACAAUAAUAUUACAAGAUUUUAUUACUCACUUCAACCAAAUGAGUGUUCAAGGAAAAGGGAAUGUAGAGUUUAUGGUUUCAUUAAAUAGAGAAAAAUGAUGAUGACAAAGAAAGGAAUUACAUACCUCUACAGUCGAUUUUUUAAGAACAAAUGGAAGAUAGGUAGAACUUAAUUGGAGUCAAAUGGGAAUUAGGGUAGCAAUGUCUUUUUUUGUAUGUAAGGUCAUUUUAGUCAUUUAUAAAUUAUAUUUUUCAUUUUUCAUAUCUUUAGACCUUCUACCCAAAAAAUUUAGUUUGUGGAUUUUUUAAAAUAAUAUUUUGUUUGACUAGGCUUUUUAAAUGAAAGCCCCGAAAGGAAGCCCAUAUCAAUUCAACCUUUUUUUUUAGUCCUUGUUGGAGUCAUUUUACCGAGGUUUUGCAUAAAAAAAAAAAAGUAAAUAAAUAAAUAUAAUACCUUGUUUGACCCACAUUAUUUCAAAAAAAAUAAAAUAAAAUAAAUACAUUCUUAAACAAUGAUUUGACGUCAUUUCAAUAACAUAUAUUUUUAAUAAAAUAAUAUUAUACAUAAAUCCAAACAUUUAUUUAUUUUUUAACCACACAUUUCCUAUCAAUAUACUAUUCAAAAAUAGAUUUUUAUGAAAAUAACGUGGCUCAAACAAUGGCUAAAUAAAUAAAUAAAAGUUAAUUAUUUCAAUGGUCACUGAACUUAGGUUCAUGUCUUUAAUUGGUCAUUGAAGUUUAAAACAUCUAGUUUUGAUCACUGAAUUUAGGUCUAUGUCUUCGAUUGUUCACUAAAAUUUAAAAUUUCGAGUUUUGGCCACAGAAUUUUUAAAAAUGUUGUACAUUAUUCAAUAUAAACUCGAUAUUUUUCAAAGUUCAACAUUUAUGCUAGUGAUAAACAUACAAUAUUUUUCAAAAUUCAGUGGCCAAAGCUCGUUUUAAACUUUGAUGGGUAAUUGAAGACAUGGACCUAAAUUCGGUGAUCAAAAUUCAAAAUUUCAAACUUCAGUGACCAAUUAGAGAUAUGAGUCUAAGUUCAGCGACCAUUGAAACAAUUAAUUAGUGUGGAAAAGGUAUUUUGGAAUGGUGAUUUUUUUGAAAAACCUGUGAUUAAAAAAGAAAAAAAAAUUAGACUUACGUGUAAUAUUAUUUAAUUGGAGAAUGAAUUAUUAAAAACAAGAAGAAAAAAAAUGCAUUUUUGAUAAAAUUGAGCCCAAACAAAGGCUUAAUCUGAGAAAAUCCCCUCUCCACUCUUUAACCCUAAUUGCAACAAUGGGGAAGGAUCUUCUUAAACCAAAAUUAGACCUCAUUUGUCCACCUUUACUCAAUGAAAACUAAUUUUGAAAUAAUGAAUUUUUGGAAAGUAUAUGAUUAAAAAAUAGGAAAAAUUUUAAGUUUACGUUCAAAAUAUUUUAUUGUAAGAAUGUAUGAAUGAAAAUGAGUUUGAAAAAAAACAUCAAAUAAUAAUAGACAAGCAGGGACUUAAAACGGCCAAGAUUCUGUCUUCCUCCAUAUUAUUAUUACUUGCACACAUUCUAUCAACCAUGAAUUUUAUUCUUUUUUUUUUUUUGGGAAAUUGCAAAGGAGGUAAAUAACCCCAAACUUUUGUUUCUUGGUAAUUAGUUUUCUACCUACGAUCAAGUUUUGUAGGCCAAAAAAAUAGAAGUGGCCAAAAUCCAAUACAUUAAUUGUCACACUUGAUGUCAUAGCUCACGCCCUUCUUCAAUGACUUAUAUUGUGAAUUGAGGAACUUGGAUAUGAUUAGUCCUAGUCUUUGUGGUGAAGUUAUUUGGCUCAUGUUUGACAGUCAUUAUUUGAAAAUUCUUUUUUAUAUACUUAUUUUUAACUACACAUUCACAUAAUAAAAUAUUUUGUACGUAAAAUAUUUCAUAUGGAUGGUUUAGAAGUUCAAUGCAUAUCAUAAUGUUAUACUAAUUUAUUUAGCUUCAUAAAAUGAUAAGAAUAUAGCAAAAAAAUAAUUGAGGACUUAAGUAUGAAAAUGAGCAAAGAUUAUAAAUGUUUAUUGCAAUUAUAAUAUUGCGUAGUUAAUAAAAAAUUUAAUGGAAAUAUAAUUACCCUACUAUUUGAUAUUCCAUUAUUAUCUAAAUUUAGGUAUCACGAGGAUUCAUAUGUAACUACCAAUUAAAACAACUUUUAAAUGAGGGUAAAUAUAACAUAAAAUAAAAUUUUAUCAAAUUAUAUUGUAACAUUCUGAAUGCAUUAAUUUAUUACAUUAAAUAUAUUAUUCAGUUGUUAUGAUAUGUUUGAAACAACCACAUGAAUCAACCAUUUAGAAAAGGGAUUAUGGAUAUUAUUUUUUAAAAUUGACUAAUUCAACCGAGGGAAUUAUUUAAGUCAUAUUUUUAUAAUAAAAGCUUUUAUUAAAAAUUAAUAUGAUAUUAAAAAUAUUAUUUUAGGGAAUGAUUGUCAAAUGGAAAAGAAAAUAAUUUUUUAAUUUCUUGUUAAAUAAAUUGAAAUAAUUAAUUAUUAACACAACUAAAAUUAAAUAAGGAUAUAUUUGGUGUAUAGCUAAAUAUGUAAGGAAUUAAUGUUAUUAAUUAGUUAUUAAUCAAAUUAAAAUUAAAGAAGGGUAUAUUAGGUAUAGUAAAAUAUGUAAGGCUAAAUAGGGUAUUCAAAAUUUCUCCACAAUCCUCUUUUUUAAUAUAUUGUAGAUUAGUCCUAGUUUUUUUGUGAAUUUAUUUAGCCCAUGUUUGACGGUCGUUAUUUGAAAACUAUUUUUUAUAUAUUCAUUUUCAAUUACACAUUUACAUAAUAAAAUAUUUUAUAUAUGAAAUCAAUUUUUCUUUCCCACCUUUUAAUUGCACAUUAUCCUUAAAUUCAUUUGUGAAAAUAUUAUCUUUCUUAAAUAAUGACCAUCAAACAGAGGCUUGAUCUAUAAAUAUGAGCCACUGUAAACAUCAAUUUUGAAGGAUAAUAAAAUUUAAUAAUUUUUUUUGAUAAUUCAAGUGUCCGAGUUUCGCCCAACUAAUCUUGAGGAGUGAUGACCUUUUCCCAUGAUUCGCCACUCAGGUAAAUUCAGAUGCGGUCACAUCUUAUACACAUUUGGAUCGGACAUUCGGAAUGUGAUUUUCUUCCUUGUGAACCUCCCUUUACGACGUAUGAACAAGACAUUUGGAGGGAUGACAAAGAGCAACAUAACCUAAUUUUAAUUGUAUUGUAAUGCGUCAGUAAGCGAUAAAAAUCUAUGUAUUUAUUAAUAUUUUAGUCCCGCUUCUUUUACAAUUCAAUGAAUCCUAUCCAAUUGCCAAGUUGAUGGAAUUCCCUGGUGUCAAUUAUAGGUUUAAUUAUGACCUAGUCCUCCUUUUCUUUUAAAGAUUCAAAAUACCCUCGAUUUUGAUCUUUCAAUCUUUAUCAUACAUUUAAUUAACAUCUUUUGAACAAGAAAACUCUAUUUAUUAUUAUAUAUACUUUUUAAAAAAUAAUCAUUUACAUUUGUAAUAAUUUAUGUUAUCCUAAAUUGUUGUUUAUGAUAAAAAAAAAAAUUAAUGAUGUUUUUCAAGUAUGUGUACAGUACCGUAUAUGUUGCCCUAGCCCCUCUCUACCUCUAAUUAAAUUUUUUUUUUCAAACUCAUUUUCAACCAUAAAUUUUAUGGAACUCACAAUUUUUAUCAAAUUUUAUUAAAAUCUACUAAAAUUUGAUUUUUAAUCAUACCAAACACGAGUGCGAUCUGCAAUUCGUGAAAAACAAGAUUUUAAUGAAAAAUUAAAAUAUGAACUUUGAAUGAUGAGAAUAUAUAUAUAUAUAUAUAUAUAUAUAUUUUAUUUUAUUUUAUUAAGCCCAUGUUUGAGCUCCAUUAUUACUAGAUUUUUGAGAAAAAUAUACUUUUGUAAUUAGUGAUUUUUAAAAGAAUACAUGAUUAAAAAAGAAGAGAAUGAUUUGGAUUUACAUGUAACAUUAUUUUAUUGAAUAAUGUAUGACUGAAAAGAAUAUAGAAAAAAAAAUAUAAUAUCAAAUUAAUGGAGCCAAGAGAAAUGCUAAGAUUUUUUUGAAGAAAAUAUAGCCCUUAUUUGAGCCCCAUUUUUGCCAAGAAAAUAUAUUUUUGAAUAGUGUUGUAACGCUCCGACCCCUAGUGGACUGGAACGCUACUUACUUCACUUAACUUAACCGGUGGUUUAGUAACAAGUGUAUACGUUUUAGCGGAAGCUUACAUCUUGGGAUAAUAAUUUAAAUAACAAUACUUCAAAUACUUUAAACAAAAAUACUGAAUCAUUUUUCAAACAACAAAAUGUAAUUUAUUUGAAGAAAACAUAACUUGUUCUCUCAUUUUGCGUUAUUCAAAACUCAAAAAAAAUAACAUUGGAAAAUAUUUCAUAAAAAUAAAUCCAAAUCACUUAUUCACCGGAUUUUCAUGGGCUCGUUGCAUCACUCUCCAUCUUCUCCUCCAUCCAUGCCCGAAGUAGAAUUCCUUCAAUCUGUAGAGAUGAGAUUAAACCCGUGAGUUGAAAAACUCAAUAGAUGUCAUAGGUGCAUUCGUGAUCAAAUUAUUUCAAAACAUUAACUUUAUAACUUUUCAUACAUGCCGUACCUGGAGGCACCAUUUGACAUACGAACAUUUCUUCAACAUAGAGGGGUAUGCCGUACCGAAAUACCAUUUGACAUACAACCAUUAACAUAGAUGGAUAUGCCGUACUGGAGUACCAUUUGACAUACAAACAUUAACAUGAAUAGAAACUUAUAAUUUAACACGAUUAAACACAUUGCACCUCUACCUACCUUGAUUGAUGCUUUUGAAACUUUGAAAAUUUGGAUUGAAAACUUCGAUGAAACUUGGACGUUGAAAGAAAUGCACUCUUUGGAUGUUUGAAAACCGUUGAGAAUUGAUGCUUGAAAACACUUCUUAAACUUUUAGAAAAAAUAGUUUUCCUCCCUCUCUUUUUCUCUCUUGGAAACUCUUUUUUUAGUAUGUAAAAGCUCUUGCUUUUGGUGUGAGAAAAAAUGAGUGAAAUGAGGUCUCUAUUUAUAGGUAAAUAUUCCAUAACUUAAAGCAAAUGAAGGAUCAAAUUUCAUUUAAGAGAGAAAAUAUGGGUGUCAUUUAAGUUUGAAGUUAAAUGCUUCAAUUUAGUGGGGUUUUUAUUGCCAAAAACGUGGGUGGCCCUUUGAGAAAAUAAUUGAUGAAAAUAAAUAUUUAAAUUCUAGAGAAAAACGAGAAUUUUCAUUUCAGGCAGUUUCGGUCGACCGAUUGUAGUCCGGUUGACACUGCACAGUUUUCAAUAUUUCUAUCAUAACUUCUUCUCCCAAUAUCCGAUUGAGGUAAUUCAAAGUGCGUUGGAAAGCUAACUCAAAGAGCUACAAUUUUUAUUUAGAUAUCAUUUUCUAAAUCGAAUGUUUCCUAUGUCGAAACUGGGUUUCAAAUGAGACUAAAAAUCUGAAGUAUACUUUAGUCAUCCAAUAUUCAUGUCUUAGUGUCACUAAGGUGUUUAGAAUAAUUUGGGGUUCUACAAGUGUAAUGAUGUGAAAUGUGUAAUUAAAAAUAAGGAAAAUUUUUAGAUUUUUAUGUAAUAUUAUUUUAUUGAAGAAUGUGUGGCUGAAAUGAUAUCAAAACAAUGUUUAAGAAUGUAUUUUUUCCAAAAAAAAAAAAAAAAAAAAAAGAGCUCAAACAAGGGCAUAGUAAUGUUGAGUGAAAAUUACAGCCUGACAGUUUUAAGCUUCACAUUUCAAAAUUAAAAUUUAAAAAUUUUAUUUUCAAAAAUCGGAAGCUAAUUAAAAUUUUAAAUGUUAACAAUUAUAUUACAAAAUUAAAUAUACAUAUUCAUCCCACCUAAUCCAUACCCAACAACCCACACCAAAACCCUUAUCAGCUUCUCUCUCUAUUUUCUCUCUAUCCCCACCUUAUCUCAUUGAACAAUGCCGCUGAAAAACAUCACGAGAAGACGUUGUCGUCAAUGAGAAGACGUUGAGCGAUGAUGUUAGAGUCACGCACAGUGGCAUUGUAAUGCCACGAUCGAUUGGAUCCAAUUUUGAAUGUGCAUGAUGAUGUCACUACGGAUAUAGUCGAUGAGAUCUAGUCCGGAUUAUGCCGUAGUGCUACAGUCGAUUGGAUCUUAUUUUGAAUGUGUGUGAUGAUGUCGCUAUAGCUAUCGUCAAUGGUACCUAAUUUUCGAUAGUGUUGCAAUGCUCUCAAUCGAUGGGAUUUGGUGAGGUGGAAGUGGUUUGUGGUUGAGGUGGUGGUGGUCGUCGUUGUGGUUGAGGUGAAAAUAGUGAUAGUUUUGGUGUGGGUGUUUGUUUUGUUUGAAAUGAUGGGGAUGAUGGCGUUGCUAUCGAUUGUCAUGAGGAGGUGGUGGUAAUUCUAGCGAUAGUGGUGUUGGCAGUGAUUGUAUUGGAGGUGAUUGUUGUGAGUAAUCACAAAUGAUGGUAAUGAUAGUCAUAAAUUAUUUGGUUGGUUGUGAUCAAUAAGUUAGUUAAUGUGACCAAUUAAAUAGAUAAUUUGUAACAAAUAAAUAUCGUGUAAACUAAAACUUUGUUAAGUUGUGACUAAUAAUCAAAUAAUUUGUAAGCUGCAGAAAUAAUUUGUGAUCCAUUAAUUUAAUAUUUUGUGACCAAUAAAUAAUAGUAAGCAAUAACUUGUGAUCAAUAAAUAAUAUGUAAUCUAGAAGAUUGAGUUGUGGCUUAUAAUUUUUUGAAUUGUGAUCGAAUAAAUAAAUUUUAAUUUAUAAAUUUUUUAAAUUUAUGAUCGUAAAAUUAUUUGUGACCUGUAAAGUUCUUAACUCGUGAUCGAAAAAUAAUUUGUGAUAAAUUAAUUCGAUAAUUUGUGACCAAAUACCAUAGAAUUGUGAUCUUAAUAUAUUUAAUUAGUAAAAUAUAUAUUUAAUUAAUAAAAUAUAUUUUUAAUUAAAUAUUUCAUAAAUUAAAUUAAUUUAUAUAUGAUUUUUGAAUUUUUAAACCUUAUUUUUUAAUUUUGAAAUGAAUCAUACUUAACUUUUUUAUAUGAAGUUUUCCCUAUUUUUGAUGUUAUCCUAUUUCCUAAAUACUAUCACCUCAACCGACAUCUCUGUGGGCUAAUAAAGUUAUGUUUUUGGCUAUUUGCCUUGUUUAUUUGUUGGAAAAAAGUCAAAACUCGUGUAUAUACUAUAUAGUUUUCACAAAUUCAAAAGUCUGGCGUAUAGUUUAAAAAUUUAAAAUUCGAGUAUAUAUAUAAUUAAUUAAAAAUAUUUAUUAAAUAAAUAUAAUAAAAUUAUAAUUAUACAAUUAAUGAUCACAAAUUCAAAAUUAUAGAUCACAAUUUAUUUAUUGAUAACAUAUUAUCAAAUUAAUCACAAAUUAUUUUAAAAUCACAAAUCAAAAAUUUUAUAGGUCACAUUUUCUUUCAAGGUGACAAAUUAAAAAUUUUAUGGAUCACAAUUUAUUUGUUAAUCAAAUAUUUUCAAAUAUGUUGAUUACAAAUUAUAUUACAGUCACAAGUUACCAAAUUUUAAGGUUACGAUUUAAUACUUGGUCACAAAUAACCAAAUAAUUGGCCACAUACACCAGAUGGCAUGUCACACACCACGUCGCCAACAGUACAACUACGGCCACCGCCACUUGUUACCACCAUUGCUAGCAUCACACCACAAUCGCCAUUAGCAUCGCCAUUACAAUCGUCAGCACCACCAUCAACGCAUUAACCUACACCACCACAAAAAAAUCGUCACCAGAUCACAUUGCCCUCACUAUCACCGCCAACAGCUCUACCACCACAAACAUCGUCACUGCAUUUUGCUCUAACAAGCCACCCACCACCUCCACCUCCAAUCAACGAUCGUACUACCGCUGUCUGCUAAAAUCACCAUCUCUCCCAAUAUUAGCACACCAUAGCCACCACCCCACAAACAAAAUCAUCAAGUACCCCACCGCCUCCACCUCCAUAACCUCUCUCCGACAUCUACCACGGCUCCAUAUCAUUCAUUUCAAAGAAAUCAAACUCUAAAAAAAAGAACAUAACUAUGUCACUAUGCACGAAGGAAAAAAUAGAUCUCAUCUUUGCUUGCUAGCGAUAGUCACGCGCGAAACAACAAAACCCCUAACACGGAGAAGAGCCAUAGCCGCUCGCAGCGUUUAUGUUGCCACGAAGCGGCGACGCCUAACAUGAAGGAGCACGCUGCUGUGACGUGAAGAUUGGUCAGAGUGGGCGCGCAAUGAAGAACCAUUGGAGUGGGUGUCCUGUGAAGAUGGAGGUGGGGAUAGAGAUUGUCGAUGUGGGGUGGGGAAAGAAACCGUCAUUGUGAGCUCGACAGUGGUCUUUGGUAGUGGGUGCGACAGCGUCGGAGUUGCGAGUUAGGUGGAGAGAGUAAGAGGUGAGAAGAUGGAGAGAUGAAUUUUAGGGUUUGGGAUUAAGUUGGAUUGAGAUGAAGUUGUAUAAAUUUUAUGCCCCAUUUGGCCCUAUUUUGUAUAAAUGGAAAUGAGUAGAAUAAUGUUUUUUGUGAAAAAUGAGUGGCUGAAAAAGAAGAAAUUUUUUUCUAUUUAUAUGUAAUAUUAUUUUAUAGAAGAUUGUGUAGUUGAAAAUAAAAAAAAAUGUAAUGUAAUGAAAAUUAACGACGUCCAAAUGGUUGUAUAUUAUUAUUAUUACUAAUAUAACAUCUUGCAAAGUCUUCUCUAGUGUACUUUUCCCAAGGCGGUUUCAAUGUUAUGACCCAACAGUAAAACCUCACUAUUGCCACUCAAACAGCCGUCGGGAAACUUGAGACUUGAGAGACCCACUGCUCCUGCGAAUCCAACAGCUACUGGGCGCUUUUUUAAACGGCUGUAGGGUACAGGUAAUUCCCCUUAUUCUUUUAUUUUCCAUAGUCUAAUCUUCUUCUCGCCUGCUCUUGGAUUUUCCAUUUUUUCCCUUUUAUCCGGGUCUUGGUUCUUUCUUCCUAUCUUUCUUUUAAUUUUUCUUCUGCAGUUGUAUUUACUUGCUUUUGGUUGCUUCUUUUCUUUUUUCCUUUUUGCUUUUAUCGUCUCGUUUUUUUCCUGCGUUGUUUUCUUGUAUUUGGGAAGCCCUCUUUUCCUUUUAAUACAAGCUUAUGCAAUGUUAAUGUUGAUUCUUGAUCUGGUUUUUCUGCUGCAAUGUAUACAUUCUCUAAUUAUUUCUCAAUUACUGUUGAGGAAAUUGUUUUGUGUUGAGGUGUGGUCUAAGCCCCAAAGUGCCUAAAUUAGGCUUGUGCCUGGCCUCAAUGAGGCAAUAUGCCAAUUGGACGGCCAUUGCUGAAUUAGCUGUCACUGCUUCCCUUGGUCCAGAUUGGAUGGGUCGUUAUGCUAUUGCAUAAAAAUUGCGGUGCAUGAAAAAUGUUGACAUUUACUUAUGCUGUCGUUGAAAACUCGAAAUUAUCAUUUUCCACUAGGAUAUUACUUUUGAUAAACCAAAUUGAUGCCGCCCAUGCUUAGAGCUUUUUCCCUAAUUCCAGAAAGUCAAGCCUCAUUCUCGGGGAGCUUACCGAGCUAUGGAUGUCAAGCCAGCCAAAACCUCUAAGUUUUGGGUUUUAGAGUCUGGAUUCUUUCGGAAGCUCCAUCAUUGCCAAGAUUCUUAGCACUGUUGAUGAUUCCAUCUAAAAUACAAUAGGGACAGCUGUUUCCUGCUGCUUCUUUCGUAUAGGAAGUUAGCAUUACUUAAUUACCAGAGAAACUCUAUCUCUACGGGCAAACGGACUUAUCUCUUUUGAACUACAUGUCAAGUGAUGUUAGUAUCAUAAUAGGGAGUAAACGAAUCUUAUCCUAGCAGAAUAUAUUUGAAAUUUGUGCGUCAUACCCUCUAUUUUACCUAAACUGUACCUGUCAGUGUCACUCUUAUGCAAAAUAUAUGCUUUCACUUCUUGAUUUGAAUAAUUGUCUAUUGAUGAUGUUGGUUGGUAGAUUUCCAAAUGAAGAAAUCCAAGGAUCCUUUUGAAAUUGCAUUUGUGGAGCAAGAUGAAUCACCCCCUGAAUCACCCACUAGCCCUGAUGAGACUGAGGCAAAAACUCCAGGUGCCCUCACUCUGGAUGUUGGUGAUGAUGAUGACAUCGGUAAUGAUCUUCGUCAUAGAGACCCUUCAACAUCUGCACCUACUUCAAACCCCAUUGGGACUACUGGCCCUACUGGAAAGUCCAAAGAAGAAGAUGAGGAAGAAGAAGAAGAGAACAUGGAUGUUGAGCUGGGCAAGUUCCCUUCUAGUGGCGAUCCCGAUAAAACAGCCAUUAUGCAGUGAGUUAACUGGUUCAUUUCAUUUUUCCCAAUUCUUUCUGGAUGAAUUGUUAUUUCGCAUACGUAAUGUCAGUAUCAAACUGAUGUCAUGAUAUCAUUGAUUUCUUGGUCCGUGAAAUUUCAUUAAGAAUAGAAUGACAUUGCAUUAGUUCUCAAAAUAACAAGAAUUAUAGCAGUCACCUCAGUGGUGUUUUAUCUAAUUGAAGAGAGAAUCAAAACGAAAAUGAAGAAUAUAGAAAUGAAACUUUUUAUGACUGAGUCAAUCUAUAUUCAAGAUUUAUUUGUGUUUCCAUUGAUCUGGUAAAUCAAAAUGUGAAGGUUUACGGGUUUUAUCUUGUAAAUAUAUAACUUGACCUUCACUUCUUUAGUUCUCAUUUUAAAAUUUACAUUUCUCUUUUUGUUCGUUCUAAAGUUCAUAACAACUCAUUUUCUUUUCCAGGAAUAUUCUUUCUCAAUUUACGGAGAAGCAGAUGAGUAGAUAUGAAUCAUUUCGUAGAUCUGGAUUUCAGAAAUCAAACAUGAAACGGGUAGGCAUCACCUCAUUCUUGUGCUCUAUGCUCAGCGGUCCCCCCGUUCCUCGUUCUCCGGCUUGUAUUGCAUGAAGUAGCAAACGGCCAUUGUUGCAAUCUUUUACCGUGUUCUAAUUGCAGUUAUUGACAAGCAUAACUGGAAGUGCCAAAAUUUCUAUGCCUACGACAAUCGUGGUAUCUGGAAUAGCAAAAAUGUUCGUUGGGGAGCUUGUUGAAACAGGUAUGCUGAUUUAGUAUUCGGUAGUAGUUAUAAGCUUAAAUUUUUUUUCUCUAUUCAUUUUUAGGUUUGAGAGAUUCUAUUGCUAAUGGUGAACAGAAAGCUUUAUAUGUCCUAUGUGUCAUACUCUGAAAUAAAAAAUACAACAAUAUGACUGUAAUGAAGCUCUACAAUUUUGCAGCCAGAAUAGUGAUGGCAGAGAGAAGGGAGUCUGGGCCAAUCAGGCCGUGCCACAUCAGAGAAGCGUAUAGAAGACUAAAACUUGAAGGUAAGAUUCCAAAAAGAUCAGUGCCAAGGCUUUUCCGCUAAAAGAAUCUGGUAGUAACUUGCAGUAUUCCAUGGUGUACUCUUACCGAACUUCAAGAUCCGUCAUCUUUUCCUGGUAAAUAUGACCUUAACAGUUCGGCAAGGAUGCUUGUAUUUGCACAUAAAUAUUUGCUCCAUGGCUUGCCCAGAUCAUAAAAAAUUGCACAGGAGUUCAAUAAUGAAUGAAUUUCAACAUUUCAGGACUAAAAUGGAAAGUUUAUAAAUGAUUUUGUACAAGUUGAAACAAACUCGCACAGAUCAUAAUCCAGAUGAAGAAAAUGUUACAAUGUUGACACUACAAACCAUGCUUUGAUAGCAUUUUAGCCAUCAACAACUCCCCAUAAUAGAGUAUUAUAUUUUGGGUAACUGAAGAAACAUGAAAAUAUUUAUUUAUUUGUCCAACACCAGGCUAGUUAUCAAUGAUCAUAAAGAGUAAUCUGAUACUCAUUUUACAUCAGUUUAAUGUCAAAGAAAAAUCCUUAUCCUUAAAGAGGGGUUAGAUAUCUACUUCCAAAUCAUUAUAUAGCAUGAGAUUGAGAAGUUGAAAGGAUGGCUAGGUCGGAUUUCUAGUUAAAAUAUCCACUUGAAAAGAAUAUCCCUGAUUUAAAAAGUUACCCAAUUAUUCAAACUCCGAGCUUUCCUUCAGUAUAAAUGCUCAUUUAUUUGCUUCGAUCUCCAUUAGUAUAAUACUUUGAACAAACGGUAGAAGUUGUACGGUGAUCUAAACAAACAAUUCAAGAAUUUCGACACUAGUAAUAACAGAACAUCAAAAAUCCUUCUUUUCACAUAAAUAUGAAACUUGGACUUCGACAACUAAUGUUAUGUACAGAAAUACUUGUCGUGCACUUGGGCUCAACGUAAGCUAGAAAAAGGGCCACGUAUUUUUAAUAUUCGAGCCUCGAUCGUUGACACACAGUCGAAGCAAAAAAUGCCUUGACCACCGAUGCACACUAAUUAACGAAAUGCAUAGAACUCUUUUAACACUGGUUUGGAUGGAAACCUUAGUUCGAAUUUUGACAAAAUCAAGAUAAACUAGUCUAAUAAAAUAAAGAUAAACACUCAUACAUUUUAAACAUUCAUGUUUCUAUUUUACUGCAUAUUCAGUUAUGUUCUCCAUGAAAUAUGCUAACAUUUCGGACUUUUAAACGUAAGGGUCCGUUUGAUUGCAAAGAUAAAAUUGAAUUGAAUUGAAAACGAAUUUCAGGGAAUUGAAUUGCCUAGAAAUUGUUUUUCUGUGAAUUGUAAAUUAUUGUGUUUGAUUGGUAUAAUUUUUCAAGUGGAAAAUAUUGAAAUAAAAGUGUUUUUUGGUGUUCGUUUGGCUUUGUUUUACAUAAAAAUUGUCAAUUAAAAAUAUAAAUUUUACUGGUAUUGGAAAUGAAAUUUGUUUUCAUUGCCAAAAAAAAAAAAAUCAAGAAAAUCAUCUAUCUUUUGGUAUUCGUUUGAAUUUGUUUUACAUGAAAAUUAUCAAUUAAAGGAAAAUAUUUUUUUUUACAAUAAUUUUUAAAAUUUGUUUGCCAAGAAAAUAAAAAAUUAAAAAAAAAUGUGAACAUUAACUUCCCACGAAAGCAAGAAAAUUGUACUUCCCAAUAAAACCAAGAAUCUAAAUUCCAUGGAAAAUUAAACCCUAUCAAACAACUAAAAGUUCCAUGGAAAAAAUUAACCAAUCAAAUAUACCCUAAGAUCAUCUAACGUCUUGAACUUUGAAGCACACAAUUACCAAUUACAAUUGCCAUCAAUGCAUGCUAGCUUCAAGAAACUCAUACUUGAUUUCUUCACAUUCAAUUAGAAUUUCUUUGUAAGAGAAAACGUGUAUUUUCCUAUUUUAAGUCCUCCUUAUGGGAAAAAUAUCGUCCAAUUAUAUGUUCGACAACCCAAUCAAUUGUAAGUAGGGCAGUGACUGAAAUCCCAACAUUAAAGAGGCUGCCCAUGAGCGCAUUCCCAACAUUAGCGUUUGGGACAUUUGGUGAUUGUUUUUUGUUGAAGCAAUUGUAGGAGAUGUCAUGUAUGUCCCCCAGUUUGAUGUUGCCCUCAACCGCAUUCUCAUCAAUUUAUGGGCACGACCGUGGGCGGAUAAAGAACAAGUCUUUCAUCGAGUUGCCAUAACUAUAUAAAAUAUAGAAGAAAUAUUUUUAUAUUCAAGUAUCUCAAGUUGCGUGUUUUAAUACUAUAUCCAAAUUAUAAAAGCUCCUCCCUUUUCUAGUGGACAUCUUAAACCCCCGUACUAACAAGAAUAAAUUUAAUUAAAGUGUAAGUUAAAGUGUAUAAUUAUGGCUUUUAAUUUUCUAUUUAAUCUGAAUAUUAUAAUAAAGAAAAACUGAAAAUUAAAAUCAAUUUCAAGUUUUCAAAAUUUAAAACUUAAGUUACAACCAUAAAUUUCAAGGUAGUGGUCCUACCUGAGAAAAACAAAAAACUGAAAAUUAAAAAUAAAAACCUUUUAAUCAGAUUUUUGAUUAGGGAUGGAUAAAACUCUCUAACCGAAUCAGACCGAACGGACCUGAAUUGAAUGGUUCUUUUUAAGUUAAAUAUCUAAAUGAGUAUCUAAAUCGAGAACAGAAGAUUUUAGUUCGAUUCUCAGUUCAAGAUGAAGAACCAAAUAAUUGAAUAAGAACCGAAUUUUUCAAAUUUUUUUUUACCUUUUUUUAAAAAAAAAUCUCAAAUAAGCCAUUAUUUUUAUGAAAAAAUAAAUAAAUUUGCUAACUAAUUAGCAAAAACCCAAAAUAUGAUUUUCUUAUGAGAAAAAUUCAUAAUUAAGAGAUUAAGUAUCACUCAUUUCAAAAUUAAGAACAAAGGUUCCAAAUUUCAAAAAUCAAAUAUUUAUUAAAAUUUAUUUAUGAUUUAAUUAAUUAAUUAUAUUUUAUUAAUUAAAAAUAUUAAGGUCACAGAUCUAUACAAUUUGGUCACAGAUUAAUGAUUUAGUUCAUCAUAUAUUAUUUUUCGAUCACAAAUUAGAAGUUUAUAUAUCAUAAAUUAUUUUACGAUCACAAUUCAAAAAUUUUAUGGAUCACAAUUUGUUUAUCGAUCAAAAAUCAAAAAAAUUAUAGGUCUCUAUUUAUUUAUCAAUCAAAAAUCACAAACAUUAUAAGUCACAACUUAUUAUACAAUCAUAAAUUAUCAAAUUAUCGGUCAUAAAUUAAGAAUUUUUUAGGUAACACAUAAUUUCUUGAUCAAGAUUUUUAUUUUUCAUUGGUCAUAUUUUGUUUAUUGGUCAUAGAUUAACCAAUUUAAUUGUCACAAUCAACCAAAUAAUUUAUGACCACCACAACACUUGCGACUGCCAUCUCACCACUACCUCCAGCACACCACCACUACUAACACUAGUGAGUGCUAUCUCACCACUACCUCCACCACCACCACCACUACAAACAAAUCAACACAUUGCAAAAAAACACCACCACAUCAUCGCGUCAGAUCCACCAUCCCGAUAAACCCAUUUCCACCAACAUCUCACCAUCACCACCUCAACCACCACCGUUGCAUGCGCGCACACACCCCCCCUCCAACCACCGCACCACCAUCGCACCCAUAGCACCACAACUGUACCUACAGCAACACAACCACACACACACAUCGCCACAGUUGCGCGCCACCCUGUACCCACAAAGCUCUUCAUUCCCACCAUUGGACCGCACAGCUCCACCACCACCGUAAUAGCAAAACUAACCCAUCAUUACCACCACAGAACCAUCAAUCACCUUACCACUCAAAAAUCUAAAAAAAAUGAAGAGUAAUGGAUCUGCAUCGUCCUCAAACAACUGGAUUGUCGCUGCGCACAGCUACUCAUUCGCACAUAGAGGUGCAAUCGCGGCACGAAGCUAUGCAGAGCUGCUCAUUUGAACGCUAAGAUGCCGCGUUGCGGCUGCAUGAUGUGACGGCUAUGCCUCAGAUGCCGCGCCUCGACGCCGGAUGUGCUUGUAUAUGCAUGUGAAUCUUAUUUUGUAAUAUAAUUAUUAAUAUUAAAAUUUUUAAUUAUAAUCUGAUUUUUGAAUAAGCAAACUUUGGAUCUGAUUUUUGACAUUGAAUCUUAAAACGUAUAGAUGGGGUGUAAUUUUCACGUUUCUUAUUUCUAAUUUCCAAUCAAGUUCAAUUUAAUCAAAUUGACCCAAACUUUACCUAAAAAUCUUAUUUUACCAUUUCUGCCGUUCUGGAUAAAUCGAAUUGGAAGCUUGACUAUGCAUAUCUUCAUUAUUGUAAGCUCGCCAUCUUUCUAUUCUUGUAAUUUUAAUUGUCAAAUCUAUGAAGAACUCAAUAAAGAAAUGAGCAAAAUAUAUAACGGGAUUAGACAACAUUAUUUUGUAAGAAUUAAGAUUUAACAUGCCAUAGUUGAAUUAAUGUAGUGUUGUAAAUAUAAAAAAUAAUUAUUAUACGGAACCCGAGAGUAGAAUGGAACUUAACACGAACAAUUCCAUAAUUAAAUUUGGACCCAGUCGAUUUACUAUUAUUUAGUGCAUUCCUUCCAAUAAAAAUCAUUAGCAAUACAAAAGGUACAAUUGCAUUCAAGUACUAAAAAAUUUUCUUCUUAAAUAAUAUCGUUAUUUCCUCAUAAAGAAUACUAAUGAAGUUAUUAAAACUAGAUAGAACAUUAUAUUAACACCAACAUAAAGUGAUAUUAGCCUCUAUUUGACAAACUUUAUUUUAUAAAUUAUCAAAUUUCAUUUUCAACUACAUAUUUUAAUAAAUCCACAAAUACUAUCCAUUUAUCCACCACUUAAUUUUAUUCAGUUGAAAUCAAACAUUAAUUUCGUUUACAUAUCACCCACUUCGUGAAAUAUAUUACUAUUUUUCUUACCAUUCUUAUUUAUAAAAAAAAUUAUAAAUUUGUUAAACGGAAGCUAAAUUAUUUAUAAAUUCUUUCGAAAUUAGUGGAUCUUCAACAGUAAAGCUUGAAAUAUCUUCAGAGUGAAAGAGGGUGUGUGUAGCUCAAUUCAUGCUUAACAAGCAGAAGCCAAAGACAGGAUUUUUUCCCCUAAAGUCUUAACAAACAAGAAAUUAAUGAUGGUAAAGAUGAUUUCUCCCACAAAUGCAUCUUUAGAUAGAAGAAUUGCUCCUACUAAUGAAUUUACAUUAAUGAUAGUAUUAUUAUCGUCUAUCGCUUUGAGUAAUGUUAAAGCACAUUAUUAAGAUUAAGUUAACUAAUCAUGAUUUGUUGGAAGAAUUAACAAUAUUUAACUAGUAAAUUAAUUCAAAAUAAAUGAGUAAAUAAGAAUCUUGCAGAUUUUUUGAGCAGGAAUAUCGAAUUCGGAGAUGGAUAAUAUCAAAAAUGCAUUAAUAGACGUCAACAGACGAAUGAAAUUCCUCAUGGAAGAAUCUGAAGAUAUGAAAAUUGGAAUUGAGCAGUUAGAGGAAAUGACAGAAUCUAUCCAACAAAAUGUCAAAUUGUUGGUGGAAAUCUCUAAUUCUCAUUCCAAAUAUACCAAAGAAUUGAAUGACAGAAUUGUUGAUAUUACUUCACAAUUCGAGUCAUUAGAUACCAAAUAGGAAAUACCAAUUGAUACAAUCUCAAAAAUACAAACAGGUACACAGCCAGGAAGCAGUAGUGGACCCAGCAAUAUCAAACGAGACAUAGCAAGUCCCCGGAAGGUGACUAUAAAAAAUGGUGAUGAACAUACAAGAGUAAUAAGAAUCAAAACUGAUGAAGAUGAUGAUACUCCUUUAUCAUCAAAAGAAGAAGAAUAUAGAUCAUUUGCCAAAAUUGUUUAUGAAUUGGAAGAAAAUGAAUCAUAUUUUAUUGCAUCGGGAGAUCAUGUUUAUCCCAGAUUAAUAAUUACCAAAGAUGCAGACCCUUUCAUGGUCAAAAUAGCAACAGAUUAUGGAUUUUUGGAUUUGAUCUAUCUAGGAAAAGAUUUAAAAGAAAUUGAAAAUUUUGAUGAUAUAUUCAGGACAGAAGUUUCAAAAUUUGCCCAAGGGAGGUCGAUUUAUAUUAAAUUUUAUUCAAUAAGUCCCGAGGUUGAUGGAAGGAUAUAUUAUCCUGCUGAACAUAUUAUUACAAUUGGAUAUGUUGGCCGAGAUUUCCAGAUUGAAGUUGGCCGAAAUAAUAAACCAUUGCCUAAAAUCAAUAAAUCAUGGAUAAAAUCUCGAAGAGUUUUGGGGAUGAAAGUUCUUUACAACAUUGCAAAGAAUUUAUAUGAUAAAAAAUUCAGAUGCUUGUGCCAAUAUGAAGGAUGGACACUCCUUAUGAAUAAUGGAAAAAAAAAAUCUACCAUUUUGAAAGAAUAUAUCCAAAAAUUUGAUACUCAUCAAAUUAAUGGAAGUCCUACAACAAUUCAAGAAUCAUGUAGAUUGAGGGAGUGCCCCACAUGUAGACAAGAUUAAAAGAUUGAUUCUUCAAGAUAAAAGAUGAAUGGAGAUAGAUAAAAGGGGACCUACCACUACCAAAGCAUCUAGCCAGCUGCAUAAGGAGCCAAAGAUGGAAAGGCAAUAAUAGAGAAAAAGAUGCCCUUUUGAUGGAAAGGCAAAGAAUGCAUGUAAAAAUGUAGACCCCAGGAGGAAAAGAAUAGAGAGGCAUGUGAGCCGUUUUUUCAAAAUUCUGAUGUAUGCAAUGAUAUAAUAGAUCAAUAAUAGUGAGUUUGAGUCAUGUAUAAAUAGAGGUAUUUGGGAAAAGAAUGAAUCAUCUCGAGUUAGAAACCAUUCUCUUUCCUUAAGCUUUUUUCAAAAUCAGUUUUUCUAGCAACCCCUUGUAUACAAUAGAAAUCUUGUAUAAAUCAUUAUAGAAAUAAAAUUUCAAUUUUUUGAUAUCAGAAAGAUAUGAGUUUCUAAACUUCCUAUCCCAUAGAUUCUGGAUAGAUUGAAGAAGAUAAUUUCUUUCUUACUUUAACAAAGAGAGAAUUUUCUUUACUUAAAAUCUUUAUUCUUAAUUCUAAGAAAAGAUACAGUGAGGGCAAGAAGCUGAAAUAGCAGAAUUCCCAUUGAGGCAAGAGGCCGUUUGAGGGAGCAGUUUGCAGAUUCAGAGUCUGAAGGUCACUCGAUUCUAAGAAUACAGAUUUAAGAUCAAAAGUAAGGUAAAAUUAUUGUCUUUGUUAAAUUUAGAAAGAAUUCUUCUAAUAUCUUGAAAGAAUCGUAGGGAUUAUUACUUUUCAUGUUUGCAAAAAACUUAUUUAACAUGUUAUUAUUAUUUAUAAAGCUUGCAAGGAAUUAUCUGAAUAAUGCCAGAUUAUACAAUUAAAGAAUUAGAUAAUCUGUUAGAAAAACUAUUAAGGAAAAUAAGAAAUAUUUUUGCUCAACUAGAGACUAUGGAUAUUUCAUCUAAGGAAUAUGAUAAUCUUAGUAAAUUACAUGACAAUUAUAUUACAGAUUAUGCUAAUUUAUUAGAUCAAAAGAUGGAACUAUAUAUUAAAAUUCGAAAUGAAAGAAAUAGAGAAAUUUUAGAAUUAUCCCAAUGAAUUAAGGAUAUCUUGUGCAAAAUAUGACAAAUCCUUUCAUUAAGGGUAUUAUAGACAUUUUAUUAAAAAUGAAUAGUGGCAGGUCAUUUAUAAAAAUCUCCCCCAGAUAAUAUGUCACACACCACGGUCACCAACACUACAACUACGACCACCGCCACUUGUUACCACCAUCGCUAGCAUCACACCACAACCGCCAUUAGCAUCACCAUUACAAUCGUCAGCACCACCAUCAACGCAUUUACCUACACCACCACAAAAAAAUCGUCACCAGAUCACAUUGCCCUCACUAUCGCCUCCAACAGGUCUACCACCACAAACAUCGUUACUGCAUUUUGCUCUAACAAGCCACUCUCCACCUCCACCUCUACCUCCACCUCCAAUCAAUGAUCGUACCACCGUCGCCUGCUAAAAUCACCAUGUCUCCCAAUAUUAGCAUACCACAGCCACCAUCCCACCAACAAAAUCAUCAAGUCCCCCACCGCCUCCACCUCCACCUCCACCUCCAUAACCUCUCUCUGACAUCUGCCACAGCUCCAUGUCAUUCAUUUCAAAGAAAUCAAACUCAAAUAAAAAAAAAAGAACAUAACUAUGUCACUAUGCACGAAGGAAAAAAUUGAUCUCAUCUCUGCUUGCUAGCGAUAGUCACGCGCGAAACAACAAAACCCCUAACACGGAGAAGAGCCAUAGCAGCUCGCAGCGUUGAUGUUGCCAUGAAGCGACGGCGCCUAACAUGAAGGAGCACGCUGCUGUGAUGUGAAGAUUGGUCAGAGUGGGCGCGCAAUGAAGAACCAUUGGAUUGGGUGUCGAUGUGGGGUGGGGAAAGAAACCGUCAUUGUGAGCUCGGUAGUGGUCUUUGGUAGUGGGUAUGACAGUGUCGGAAUUGCGAGUUAGGUGGAGAGGGUAAGAGGUGAGAAGAUGGAGAGAUGAAUUUUAGGGUUUGGGAUUAAGUUGGAUUGAGAUGAAGUUGUAUAAAUUUUAUGCCCCAUUUGGCCCUAUUUUGUAGAAAUAAAAAUGGGUAGAAUAAUAUUUUUGUAAAAGAUGAGUGACAGGAAAAAUUUUCAAUUUAUUUGUAAUAUUAUUUUAUAAAAGAUUGUCUGAUUAUAAAUAGAAAAAAAUAAAAUAAAAUAUAAUGAAAAUUAAUGACGGCCAAACGGUGCUAUAUUAUUAUUAUUACUAAUAUUAAUAAUUAAAUUAACAUCUUGAAAAGUUUUCUCUAGUGUACUUUUCCCAAGGCGGUUUCAAUAUUAUGACCCAACAGUAAAACCUCCCUAUUGCCACUCAAACAGCCGUCGGGAAACUUGAGACUCGAGAGACCCACUGCUCCGGCGAAUCCAACAGCUACUGGGGGAUUUUUUAAACGGCUGUAGGGUACAGGUAAUUCCCCUUAUUCUUUUAUUUUCCAUAGUCCAAUCUUCUUCUCGCCUGCUCUUGGAUUUUCCAUUUUUUCCCUUUUAUCCGGGUGUUGGUUCUUUCUUCCUAUCUUUCUUUUAAUUUUUCUUCUGCAGUUGUAUUUACUUGCUUUUGGUUUCUUCUUUUCUUUUUUCCUUUUUGCUUUUAUCGUCUCGUUUUUUUCCUGCGUUGUUUUCUCGUAUUUGGGAUGCCCUCUUUUCCUUUUAAUACAAGCUUAUGCAAUGUUAAUGUUGAUUCUUGAUCUGGGUUUUCUGCUGCAAUGUAUACAUUCUCUAAUUAUUUCUCAAUUACUGUUGAGGAAAUUGUUUUGUGUUGAGGUGUGGUCUAAGCCCCAAAGUGCCUAAAUUAGGCUUGUGCCUGGCCUCAAUGAGGCACUAUGCCAAUUGGACGGCCAUUGCUGAAUUAGCUGUCACUGCUCCCCUUGGUCCAGAUUGGAUGGCCCCGAUAUGCUAUUGCAUAAAAAUUGCGGUGCAUGAAAAAUGUUGACAUUUACUUAUGCUAUCGUUGAAAACUCGAAAUUAUCAUUUUCCACUAGGAUAUUACUUUUGAUAAACCAAAUUGAUGCCGCCCAUGCUUAGAACUUUUUCCCUAAUUCCAGAAAGUCAAGCCUCAUAAAUGGAGAUUGUUGCAUCUUCUCGGGGAGCUUACCGAGCUAUGGAUGUCAAGCCAGCCAAAACCUCUAAGUUUUGGGUUUUAGAGUCUGAAUUCUUUCGGAAGCUCCAUCAUUGCCAAGAUUCUUAGCACUGUUGAUGAUUCCAUCUAAAAUACAAUAGGGACAGCUGUUUCCUGCUGCUUCUUUCGUAUAGGAAGUUAGCAUUACUUAAUUACCAGAGAAACUCUAUCUCUACGGGCAAACGGACUUAUCUCUUUUGAACUACAUGUCAAGUGAUGUUAGUAUAAUAAUAGGGAGUAAAUGAAUCUUAUCCUAGCAGAAUAUAUUUGAAAUUUGUGCGUCAUACCCUCUAUUUUACCUAAAUUGUACCUGUCAGUGUCACUCUUAUACAAAAUAUAUGCUUUCACUUCUUGAUUUGAAUAAUUGUCUAUUGAUGAUGUUGGUUGGUAGAUUUCCAAAUGAAGAAAUCCAAGGAUCCUUUUGAAAUUGCAUUUGUGGAGCAAGAUGAAUCACCCCCUGAAUCACCCACUAGCCCUGAUGAGACUGAGGCGCAAACUCCAGGUGGCCUAACUCUGGGUGGUGGUGGUGAUGAUGACAUCAGUAAUGAUCUUCGUCAUACAGACCCUUCAACAUCUGCACCUGCUUCAAACCCCAUUGGGACUACUGGCCCUACUGGAAAGUCCAAAGAAGAAGAUGAGGAAGAAGAAGAAGAGAACAUGGAUGUUGAGCUGGGCAAGUUCCCUUCUAGUGGCGAUCCCGAUAAAACAGCCAUUAUGCAGUGAGUUAACUGGUUCAUUUCAUUUUUCCCAAUUCUUUCUGGAUGAAUUGUUAUUUCGCAUACGUAAUGUCAGUAUCAAACUGAUGUCAUGAUAUCAUUGAUUUCUUGGUCCGUGAAAUUUCAUUAAGAAUAGAAUGACAUUGCAUUAGUUCUCAAAAUAACAAGAAUUAUAGCAGUCACCUCAGUGGUGUUUUAUCUAAUUGAAGAGAGAAUCAAAACGAAAAUGAAGAAUAUAGAAAUGAAACUUUUUAUGACUGAGUCAAUCUAUAUUCAAGAUUUAUUUGUGUUUCCAUUGAUCUGGUAAAUCAAAAUGUGAAGGUUUACGGGUUUUAUCUUGUAAAUAUAUAACUUGACCUUCACUUCUUUAGUUCUCAUUUUAAAAUUUACAUUUCUCUUUUUGUUCGUUCUAAAGUUCAUAACAACUCAUUUUCUUUUCCAGGAAUAUUCUUUCUCAAUUUACGGAGAAGCAGAUGAGUAGAUAUGAAUCAUUUCGUAGAUCUGGAUUUCAGAAAUCAAACAUGAAACGGGUAGGCAUCACCUCAUUCUUGUGCUCUAUGCUCAGCGGUCCCCCCGUUCCUCGUUCUCCGGCUUGUAUUGCAUGAAGUAGCAAAUGCCUUGACCACCGAUGCACACUAAUUAACGAAAUGCAUAGAACUCUUUUAACACUGGUUUGGAUGGAAACCUUAGUUCGAAUUUUGACAAAAUCAAGAUAAACUAGUCUAAUAAAAUAAAGAUAAACACUCAUACAUUUUAAACAUUCAUGUUUCUAUUUUACUGCAUAUUCAGUUUUGUUCUCCAUGAAAUAUGCUAACAUUUCGGACUUUUAAACGUAAGGGUCCGUUUGAUAGCAAAGAUAAAAUUGAAUUGAAUUGAAAACGAAUUUCAGGGAAUUGAAUUGCCUAGAAAUUGUUUUUCUGUGAAUUGUAAAUUAUUGUGUUUGAUUGGUAUAAUUUUUCAAGUGGAAAAUAUUGAAAUAAAAGUGUUUUUUGGUGUUCGUUUGGCUUUGUUUUACAUAAAAAUUGUCAAUUAAAAAUAUAAAUUUUACUGGUAUUGGAAAUGAAAUUUGUUUUCAUUGUCAAAAAAAAAAAAAAUCAAGAAAAUCAUCUAUCUUUUGGUGUUCGUUUGAAUUUGUUUUACAUGAAAAUUAUCAAUCAAAGGAAAAUAUUUUUUUUUACAAUAAUUUUUAAAAUUUGUUUCCACUGCCAAGAAAAUAAAAAAUUAAAAAAAAAUGUGAACAUUAACUUCCCACGAAAGCAAGAAAAUUGUACUUCCCAAUAAAACCAAGAAUCUAAAUUCCAUGGAAAAUUAAACCCUAUUAAACAACUAAAAGUUCCAUGGAAAAAAUUAACCAAUCAAAUAUACCCUAAGAUCAUCUAACGUCUUGAACUUUGAAGCACACAAUUACCAAUUACAAUUGCCAUCAAUGCAUGCUAGCUUCAAGAAACUCGCACUUGAUUUCUUCACAUUCAAUUCGAAUUUCUUUGUAAGAGAAAACGUGUAUUUUCCUAUUUUAAGUCCUCCUUAUGGGAAAAAUAUCGUCCAAUUAUAUGUUCGACAACCCAAUCAAUUGUAAGUAGGGCAGUGACUGAAAUCCCAACAUUAAAGAGGCUGCCCAUGAGCGCAUUCCCAACAUUAGCGUUUGGGACAUUUGGUGAUUGUUUUUUGUUGAAGCAAUUGUAGGAGAUGUGAUGUAUGUCCCCCAGUUUGAUGUUGCCCUCAACCGCAUUCUCAUCAAUUUAUGGGCACGACCGUGGGCAGAUAAAGAACGAGUCUUUUAUCGAGUUGCCAUAACUAUAUAAAAUAUAGAUGGAGUAUUUUUAUAUUCAAGUAUCUCAAGUUGCGUGUUUUAAUACUAUAUCCAAAUUAUAAAAUCUCCUCCCUUUUAUAGUGGACAUCUUAAACCCCCGUACUAACAAGAAUAAAUUUAAUUAAAGUGUAAGUUAAAAUGUAUAAUUAUGGCUUUUAAUUUUCUAUUUAAUCUGAAUAUUAUAAUAAAGAAAAACUGAAAAUUAAAAUCAAUUUCAAGUUUUCAAAAUUUAAAACUUAAGUUACAACCAUAAAUUUCAAAGUAGUGGUCGUACCUGAGAAAAACAAAAAACUGAAAAUUAAAAAUAAAAACCUUUUAAUCAGAUAUUUGAUUAGGGAUGGAUAAAACUCUCUAACCGAAUCAGACCGAACGGACCUGAAUCGAGUAGUUUUUCUUAAGUUAAAUAUCCAAAUGAGUAUCUAAAUCAAGAACAAACGAUUUUAGUUUGAUUCUCGGUUCAAGAUGAAGAACCAAAUAAUUGAAUAAGAACCGAAUUUCUCUAAUUUUUUUUUUACCUUUUUUUUUUUU
rnacentral:lncRNA from 1 species